AAGGCUGUUUGAAGGUGAGUUUUUUGAGUAUUAGUAUAAAGUUUUAUUAUAGAUUACUGUAAAAAUUGUAAAAAAAUUUUUGUGAGAUGAAAAUUUUUUUUUCUUUUUUUUCUUUCCUUUUCUUUUCUUUUUUCUUUUAUUUCUUUCUUCCUUUUUUCUUUUCCUUCCUUCCCCUUCGUUCCCCUGCGACUCCUCUUCUCCCUCUGCCCCGCCACCCCCCUCUGGCCGCCACUUCUUUUUCUCCCCCCCUCCCUCAUCCCCGUCGCCCUCAGCAGCCACACAUGGAAGCCAUGGAUUUUUUUUUUUUAGCUUUUGCCCGUCACCCCUUCUCCUCCCCUCUUCCUCGCCACCCUCCCCCGCGGGAGGGGGAAGGUGGCAGGGGAGGGAGAGGGGAAGAGGGGAGGGGAGGACGAGAGGAGAGGGGGUGAGGGAGAGGAAGAGAAAAAAAAAAAAAGAGGAAGGCAGUGCCGGAAUUGUUAACCGGCGCAGGGAGCGGUGGUGGAGGCGGUGGCUGGCGCGGGAGGACAUGGUGGGUCGGGUGAGGGAGGGAAAAGAAGAAAAUUUGAAGGAAAAUUUUUUGUGUAUUAGAUGGAUGUGUAGGUUAAAAAUUUUAAUAAGUUUUUUUGGAAUUCCUAUAGCAAAAGUUAUUAAAAAAUUAGUUUUAUACAAACUUGUUAAAAAACCAAGGUUCAGACAGAAAAGCAAUUAAAGAGAGAGGUCCGUGCUAUCACCAUCCCAAAGCCCUUCAGCUUCCAAGCAUUAUCGUCUCAUCAAAAAAGAUAAAUUUUGGAAAUUCAUCAAGCAUGGCAAUGGCAAUGGCAAUGGCAAUGGCAUCCAUGUUUUCCGCGUUGAGGUCGUUGGUCAGAUAAUAAUGGCAAUGUCUCCCACUAAUUUGAUUAGUGCCUUUGGACUAAAAAAGAUUCUCAGAUUCCAAUCAAAUGAGGUGUUAAGAGGUGGACGGUGCAAGGUGAUUGUACUCUACAACAAAGGCAUAAAGAUGCAAGAAAAGAAUGUAUAUAAAUAUUCCUCCUCUAUUUAUCUAUACAUGCACUUCUAUUUCAUAGCCUAUGACUACUUUAACCACCAACAACAACCAAACAAAAAAAUAAAAAUAAAAAUUGUCACAUUGCAUGCCAUGCCACCUGUUGACAAACCUUUCUGCAAUCCCUAUUCUUUCACUCGCUUUAAAUUUCACUUUUUUCCACAUGGAAUGAGUAAGAUUUUCUCAAUCUUUUGUGACCUAAUUUUGCGUUAAAAGAAUAAUAAAAGCAUUCUUUGUUAGUGGAUAAGUAUGACUUCGAAGAAGAAUAAUGCUAGGGAGGGGACCAUGCAAAUUUGUCACCAUCCUCUACAUUGUGCUACCAGCAAAUUUCUUUUCCUUUUGACGAAGGCUGGCAUCAUGACCUCUUCCAUCUAUAACUAAGUUCUACUUCUACCUCAUAUUGAGAAUGUCACUAUAUAUAAAUUGGGGUUUGAGGGAGGAGAUAGAUAUUCAAGAAACAUAUCAUAUCAUCAGCUCGUUUGUUUUGCAGCUUAAAAUCUUAAAAAAGAGUCUUGAGAAAGGUGGCGGAGAUAUGUGGAGAAAGAAGAGAAAGAAGACGCUGAAAAUGACUUGUUUAUACGUGGAUGCAAUUGCCCUUUGAUCAUCAUUUCAUGGAUGCCAAAGGGUACACAGGCAAGUCAUAUAGGCAAAGGGAAGGCCACGCCUUUCUUCCAGGUUUUUUUUUUUCUUUCUUUUUUUGCUUGUUUUUUUGGGGGAUGCGUUUCUUUCUUUUGGAUUUUCAACUAAUCAAUGUAUCCGAUGUUAUUUGACCAGAGCUGUAUAUGCUUAAUGGUCCUUUAACCAAUGAAUUCUCCAAUGAAGUGAAUUUCUUUUGUGUAUAUAGCAGCUGUACUAGUUUUUCACUUCCGGUAAGACCGACCACCCCAGAUGAGGUGACUGAUUAUUUAUUGUACCUUAUCAACCUUGCACUUUACCUUACCAAAAGUAAAGCUCGCAAUAGAGACGACUGACUGCAAGAAAAGAAAGAAAAAAAAUCAAUUUUGAGAUCGUAUGCUAGUUUUAAUCAGAUCAGUAGUGUAAUACAUUAUAAUGGCUUAUGAUUGAGAGAUUGAUUUGUUAUCCGUACGUCCGUAUGUAACUUAUCAUUAUAUUAUGAUUCGGUGGGACAAGGGGUUGGGCCGUCCCUGAACAGUUAAUGGCUAUGAUUUGGUUAAAAAAAAUUUGUGCGGUCCAAAUCACAAAUUGUGCAUCGAUUUUAAUACCGUGUACUAAAGUUACACGUUGUGCAAAUAAAGUUAUUCCGUAUGCAAUUAAAAUUACGCGCUGUUAAAAAUGGUCAAAAUCGCUAGAACAAGGAGCAACCGUUCGUGCCCCUUGUCCCGAUUCGGUGAAACUAACAAAAAAGAUAGAUCGUGAUCCAUUUCACUUGCCAAAUUAACUAAAUCCCUGCUUGAUGUUGAUGAUGCAAAGGAUAAUUCCACUUACUAAACAAGAUAAUUUAUUGUUGAAUUUAGAAGGUGAGCAGAAGAAUUAUCGUUCUUGAUCCGAUUGCAGUUUUCAAAUGCAGAUAGAUAUCCAUCAGGUCCAACCUUCACGUUCAUACCACCAGCCGAUUUGAUCUGCAAUACUCUCCAAUUGGCUUCAAAAAGGAAAAAAAAAAAAAAAAUUCUGCAGAAAAAUGAAAAAUCUUGCCCCUCGACCUCGAGAGGUCUUCUUCCUGUGUAAAAUGUCUCCAACGCUAUAUCGAUACAAACAUGAAUCCUGAUAACAUCAAUAAAACCCGGGUAGUUAACAGCAGUGACUUCAAGCACGGUAGUAACUAACUCAAAUAAUACGUUUUCUGCAUACAGUAACUCAAAAGGUUUCAGCAUCUGUAUAUAACUUUUUCUGGUUUAUAUAUAUAUAUAUAAAAAAAUGCCCAGAUCAUUAAUCAUUGGUUGAUGAUUUGGGACAAAUGGUAAUGCAUGAUUAACGUACGAACCAGAGUACUAAUUAGUAAUUACAUGUUGGUUUAUCUUAAUCUUUCGCAACAAUGAGAGAAUGAAAUGAUUGACUUUAAAGUUAUAAAGCAAAAAAGAAGCUCCCAUGAAGUUGCCGUGCUUAUAAUAAAUUGCAAGAUAAGCGUGGUAGCUAUCUCGAGAGCGUACGUAAAGGAAGAAGCAAAAAUAAGUAUUUAUUGUCGCUUUAUUUAUGAUGAAGAGUACUUUUACUUUAAUUACUUGUACGUACACAUUGUUAAGAUAACUAAUCAUGGGCAUUAUAACCACUGCCGAUAUAAAAUCAUUUCAAACAUUACAGUAAAAGUUGGCGUACUUAUUAUUAUGCGUUGCUCGGCUCUUCAAGCUGGGAAGGGCUGACAACCUUCAUGAAAACGACCGACGAGCCACUCAAAAAGUCUUCGAAUAAAAAUAUCUCAUUAAUUGAAGCCAAAACUAUCCAUCAAAGAACAAUAAUUACAACCUUUUUUUUUUUUCUUUUUAAUUUUCCUGUUAACCAAAACGAUGCACAUCACUGCAACGAAAAAACCUGAUGAGUAUCUUUCACCCCUUACAACAUUCACCAAUCCAUUAUCACAUUACAGACUCCCUGCAGCAUUCUAUAAUAGCCCUGACAUCGUUGAAGAACUGUUUUCCUGGACAUCCUCAAUUUGCAGACAAUGAAAGAAUCGCAUCAGCAAUCCAUGCUAAGCUCUUAGUCUUAGUUGCCCAUUAAAGCAUGCACGGGUAACUGCUGGUUAUAAAAAUGUGUGCUGAUUUUCAACAGGCAAACCAAAAUCAAACCUCAUGAGUAUCCAUCCUUAAAAGGAGAAAUUUUGGAACUUCCACUCAUCCACGUUACUUAUUUGGUAUGACAAAAAUGGCAAGGUCUCAACCUCAUCUAUUCAUCUUGCUCGUGAUGAUCUAACUAGAGUAUACAAGGACAUCCUAGAACUCAAAUAAACAGACGCUGUAUUUAAAUACCAUCCUUAAUUCCGGGCGUAAUAAUAAGUUAGCCAGUCAAUCCCAAGGGAUAGCUCUUCAGCAAACUCUAUCCCCGGGAGAACCAAUACCUAGUGUAUAUCACCACCAAUGAUACCUUCAAAUGGGAUUAAAAAUCUUAUUCUUCAUCAUCAUCUCUAAAUGCGCAAUUACGAGCAGCAGGUAAAGCGUCAGCUACCCCAGAUCUAGACUCUUCUUCAUGGUUUCAUAAACCAAGUACGUAAUGCUGGCUGCAGGAACAACUUUAAGAAGAUUUGGGAAUAGUCCUUUAUAGAAUCCCCUGAAACCUUCAUGUUUAAUCGUUCUCCUAAACACAUCAGACAUUCCUUUGUAAGCAGCAUCAGAGUUGUAUCGCUGAGCUUGCAUUCUACAAAGUGAGAAAAUAAGCAUUAGCAUUUAAGACAAAUCACGAGCUGAAUCUAGAAUGUCCGACAGACAAAUUAAGCUGCAGCAAGAGCAUAUUGUAAUGAAGUUUUACCUUGUUCUGACAACCUGCAAAGGAUAAACGCAUGUUGCUCCCAGGGCCCCUGAAAUUGUACCGCAACCAAGUUGCACAAAAGGACCAGGCUCUGCAUAAAAUUCGAAUUUCCAGGAAACAAGAUUUCAAAGGCCUGUAAAACUAAAUAAAUUACACAUCCUACUAGCUUUCCAAUAACCAUUUAAAUUUAAACCACAAGGAAUUCUCACCAAAGACAUCUGUUUGAUGAUGUAGAAAAGACAAUAUCCCCAUAACACAGAAAAGGAAACGAUCAAAGAAGUCUUGAGACAUUAAAAAACGAAAGCAUAAAUUCCAUACCACUAUCAUGAAGAAUAUAGGUCUUUGACAUUUCUUUAAGUGUCUCAUAGGCAGCCAAGUCGAUGCCCGCAUAAGGAAUAAUCCCUAGAAGAGAUGGUACCAGUCCUCUAUAAAAAGCCCGAGGUCCCUCCUGAACCAAUAUAUCUUUUGACAACUUUCCCAAUUUUGGAACUUUCCCACUUUCACAAGCAUAAGUUUGUAAUCGGGUCUUCACAAGAUCCAUUGGAUAAAUAGCAGUUUGUGCAACAGCACCAGCCAAACCACCAGCAACCAGGCGCCCUGAUGUCCCAAUAUCCCGGUGGUCCUCCUUGUUACCUCCAAUGACAUUCUUCAGCAUUUCAUAAGUGUAAAAUUUGAUGGCACUUUCUGGAGCAACCUUGAAAACAUUUAUCCCAUUGCCUCUGAAAAACCCAAAUAAGCCGCCCUCCUUCCAUAUGCUCUUAACUGCAGGGGCAAUAGAUGCACGAGAGGUCUGAACCUGCAAAACCACCUUCAGACGAUCAAGAGGUGCAGUUGCAGUACGUGAAGCCGCUCCAGCAACUCCCCCUGCAAUUAAAUAUUUUGUAGCAUGAACAUGCUUGCUGAUGCCUUCUGGAAUAACAGCCUGUUCACCAAUAUCAACUAGAUAUACCCUUUCCCAAUAGUGAUAGAUGUUUUCAAUAGUUGCCUCAUGUGGAUAGAGCAGUAAAAAAUCUCUCCACUCUUCAAAAGUUAUGAUACCAUUGUUAUCCUUAUCAACAUGCUCCACAAAGCGAGCAAGUUCAUCAUCAUCCAUUUCUAUCCCUGAAGAAAGAAACUGCCAUGACUUAUAAGAUGAAGACAUAUAAUGAUAUUAAAGUAAAUGGCUCUGGGAAAAGAUGGAAAAUCUAGCAGAAAAAUCAGACUCAGAAGGCCUAAAUACUUGGUUCAUAAGGACUUGAAACAUAGAAUCACUCAAUGAUAACAACCAACAGUAGUCCCAAGAAGAAGAUGAAAAAAAACGUGAGGUGCUUUCAUAAAGUGAGAAAGAGCUUCCUCUAGUCAUACUUGGAGAUUGAACUUGCGACUUAUCUUCAAAUUCUGGCAUACGUUGUCCAAACUUGGAAAAGCAAUCAUAUUUAUCCUCAAUCUUACACAACCUACUAAUUUCGGAUCAAUAUGCAAGAAAUUUGAAAAGAUCACAUAAAAGAAUAUUCUGAAAAUUCCGAAGGGAUGCUCAGAGGAAGAAUUGUAAUUUAUAACAAAAAAGCCAGUAUUUGAAGGACCGAUACUUACAAGCUGCAACACCAAGGUGAUCAAAGAGCUUCAGAUUUGAUGCCAUGCAAAAUCAGCUUCUUCCCCUUUUAUGAUAGGGAAAAAAGGAUUCUAUUUGCACAUCAAUAAUUAAAAAGGCGCAGUAUAUUUAGAUCACUCCAUUCAGAGGUCAAGGAAUAUAAGAGUAUGAAGUCUCAUUCCAACAUUGAAGGGUUUUUCCCAUUACCCAGACCCAUGACACUCAGGUCCUCAGCAACCUUGUGUUUCUGCCAAGGUCUUUUCUUUGGAUCCAUUUGAAAAGAUGGAUCUGGAUCCUAUGGAAGACAUGAUGGGAUGGAAUUGAACAGAAAGAGUUGGAUCCAAGGAAAGAUUUUCACAUUAGCUAAAAACACAUGGUUAGCAAUUAUCCCAGGGUGAAGAAAAUUACAAUUAAAGAAAGCAAUGAGCUAAAAGUUUCUAUUUCUUCUUCCUUCUUAUCACAGAACAUUGAAACCUAAGCCCACCUUCCUGCUGCUUCUGUUUACCAUCAAUAGAUCCUUCCGUCAUGGCAAUCUCACCAGAUAUUUUCUCGUUACUCAAACUCACACUGAAUGGCUCAAACGCCACUUAACAGAGAUGCUCUUUUUCCAGCACUCUCACUACCAGCAAGAGAAUGCCGCUGGUGCAGUCAACAGCAGUUGACAGGCCAAGUUUAGCUCCGUAUAAGUGGUGUCAUGGUCAACAGCAGUUGGAGGCAUGACUUUUGCUCCAUAUAAGCUCAAAAAUGAAUAGUUUAGAAGAGAAAGGAAGAGGUGUUAAAGUAUGGAUUUCGAUAACCUCUAUUUUGGGUGAAUUUGGAUCCACUUAAUUAUAGUCUUAAAUUCUUGGUGAAUGUCAAAUCUAAAUUGCUCCUACUUCACACAGAAAAGCUAGAGAUUUGGGUAAAGGGUUUAAAAUCCUAUCCACCCAAAUCCCGCAUUCCAAACAGACCCUCUAUGAAUUUCAGGGAAUGCGAAUGAAGAAGUUUUAUGUAUUAUAUUGGUUGUGGGAGAGUUAUUUUCACAUAUGCACUAAUUUUGGACUAACCGUUGAGCCAUAGGACCUGAAAUUUUAUAUGAAGAUAUUUUAGAGAACUUGUCUUUAUAAUGAUCUUCCAAACAACCCUCUAUAUGUGCUCAGAUACCAAAGCCUGUAGACAAAACCAUUACUCUAGAUAGCCAGACAACUAAAUGGCUUUUCAGCACUAGAAAAAGUUUUUCUUUUUUUCCUUUAAUCAGUAUCUCAUCAAAGAUUUACAUUAAGAUCUCCCGACAAUUUACCUGAAUCAGUUGGCCAUGAUGAAGAAAGAGCAUUUCUUCAACUCAGGAAAGUCAUUUACCAAUCUACUUUGUUCCAUACUUUGGUGAAUACUCUAUCACUUAGCAAAUCCAAAACAGGGCUCAAAGUUCACCAUUUAAUUUGUCAACAUGGGGAAAAAAUACUAAAGUUGAAAGAAACACUUUUAGGUUCUAUCAUAGCAUUUAAAAGAUCCAUAAUAGUACCUAAAGACCAGCAUAUAUGGGAGAAUCUCAUGCACUGAUACAAAAAGUACAUCCAAUACCAAUAAGAAUGUUAAAUAUUUGUUCAUAUCAUACGGCAAAUUAUGUAAACAGGGGAUUGUAACCUUUUCAAUGAGAUUGAAGUGGACCUUUAUCUCUUCUUCUAAAGGCUCAUAGCAGCUAUGAAAAUUGUUCUAAAUUUCAGGUAACUUAUUCAUCAAAUAUAAUACACGAGUAAACUUAUUCUUGUCAUUUUGCAGACCUAGAAAUGUUGUUUCCAAAAGCACAGAUAUAAAAACGGUGACACCCAUGUGCCAACCCUCAGAUAAGAAUGAUAAAUCAGCGACUCUUCCUUUAGUCACCAUUAUCAUUGACAUAGUAAGACCAAUGGAAACAGACAAUUAAAGCCAAAGUUAAUGUUUUUAGGAAAACUAUCUAAACUAUCAAUGCACCAUAGGAUAUGAGGACUCAAGAAAGAUAUUGAACAGAAAUAAAAACCAAUUCCACUGUUUCAGAGUUAUUACAAAUAGGCACAAGUCUAGCCUUUCCAUCUUAGAAGCCAAAAGGUUUGAACACUAGCAGUAAAAAGAUACACACUAGUCCCUUUACACAUUUGCAAAAUGUUCUGAAUUCUCCAAACAUCAAACCUAGUAUCUCUCAAGAGUGUCUUUAGGACUCAGAUACACCAUAGAUCAUGUCUCAAAUCUUCACCACAAAAAUUAAUAGAUUCACUAAAUAUGGGCACACUAUCAUAUAAAUCAAUCCAGCUUACUUAUUCUGAACUCUUAACCUUGAGAGGACUCGCAUUAUAUGAGUUCUAUGCAAAUUCUUCACCCAUUUUCUUAAUCUUACUAUUUGGCAGUAGCCUACUGGGACAUCAACACUUUAUUUUCUCCCAUGUCACCACACACAAACAUAUAUGUAAUGCCUCAAUCCUUGUUACAUUAUCUUUUGACAGGUCACAAUUACAGUACUUACGAAAUAAUGACAGCAACUUAAUUUGAUUUACAAUUACCUGCAUCUUAUGAAGGAGCGUGUCUUUUUUUUUUCCUUUUUAAUUGUUCAACCUACAGCUGUAAUAAUAGGUGUUUCUAUUUUUGCCAAGACAGUAAUACAAAACCAAACAAAAAUUACGAUAUACUGUUAAAUUUGCGAUAUAGGUCAUUUGUCUAAGAUUAAACUAAUCUAUUCCAGCAGUGCAGGUUCUGCCACUGAUUGAUCACAAAGUGAUGGAUAUAACAAGAGCGAUACAAUGAUAUAUUCGUCGGUAUCCAGCUAACCCAAUCAGGGCUUCUUAAGACUAUAAGAGAUCAGCCAAUUCCUACCACAUGAGGAGCCAAACGGCUUAUUUCUGUUCAAAACUAACAUGCCAUUUUAAACAGAAAUAAAACAACGUAGCUCAGCUUUGAAUCCAGGUAUAUAGCAAUCAGAAUUUAAUACAUGACACUAUUAAUAACCUAACAACCAUAAUAAAUCAACCUCUUUCACUGCAGCAUUACUUGUGGUUGCCGAAGAGCAAACUCUCAAAUUAAGUAUCCCACUACCAUCUACCAAAAGCAACCACAUUAGUAGUCUCUGUGAACCUGUGUUCUAGAAUCUCUUGAAUGAUGAUCUCUUUCCAACAUCCAGAUAUACAAAUUAUAAGCAUAUGCACACGAAACACAUAGACUAGAGAAACCACAACUAUAGAACACAUAAAAGUCGAAACUUGAAUUGGACAAUGCAGUGUCAAAGAAAAUAAAGUACAAGUAAAGUACCAGCCUGGACAAGAGCAUCCCAGAGUUCCUCAGGCAAAAUGCAGCCAUUAUGCUCUACAUCAAUAGCCUGAAAAAUCCUAUACAACUCCAGCUCCUUAUCAUCCAUAUACUUCCUAAACUCCUGAUAAUCCACUCUUCCAUCUCUAUUAGCAUCACAAACAUUUAGCAGCUCCUUUGCAAACUUAUACUCUGCUGGAAUUUGCAGAGCUGAAAGGCCCUUCUCAAUUUGGGUAUAGUCCAAGUACCCCACAUUAGCUGAAUCAAAAAAAUUAAAUAAGCUCUUAAUUCUUGAAUCCCUUUCCUCCUUAGUCUCCCUGAGAGCUGCUAAGACAUGGUCCAUUGAAACCGGGCCGGGUUUCUUCACAGGAUUGCAGCAUCCGGACGGGUCAUUUGUUGCCAUUGCAGGGAAAUUUACAUGCCCCACAGCCUCUCCAGCCCCAGACAUGGACAAAAGAAUUCUGGGUUUAUCAAUUUCACCACGAGUCUCAAGAUGUUCAACGUUUUUGUAGAUCUAGACAUCCAACCCGUAAAUAUGAUGAAUUUAUUGAAUUUACAGACGAGAAAUGAAUUGGGAUACCAAAUGCGAGAGCGAAGAAUAUUUAUAGUUUAAUAACUAACGAAUUGGGUUGAAGAAAGUGGAGUGAGAAGAGGUGAAAGAAGAGAAUAUCUGGUGAGGAUCUCCUUCCAGGAAGAUCCGAAGGGUUGACCCGGUUUGCUAAACAGGAUCUUUACUUGUGGUUUCGGGUCAAUAGAAAAAAAAAAAAGGAAUAAUAUAUACUAAGAAGAGUGCCAAGUUUGAAGGGGUAAAAGUGCAAAAUUGCACAAGCGUGUUUAUUACGAGGGAUGCUUGGAAAUGGUAGUCGCUUUAUUCUUCCGGGAUGGCCGGUGGAAAUUGGGACGGACAAUUUUUUUCUCUUUUUCUUUUUGGCAAAGAAACAGUAAUGGCUGGCUGGGCCUGUAGUUUCCGACAGAAAGGAGGGAAGCGGGGACAGUAAAAAUUGUAACCGAACGGAAAUUGGAAGAUGGAGGCUUGGAAAGGAAUAUUGGGAUUUCGGGGAAAAUGGCCAAAUUGGAGGUUGCAAAUUGAGGAGACUAAGAAGGUAAGGUCAUUCUUUUUAAAAAAAAAAAUUUUCCCACUUUAGUAAUAAAAAAUUUAGAUGAGUUUGAUUUCAAUCACCACCACCGUGGGUGAUAAUAUGAUUUCGGAAUCACCAAUCAUUUACAUGCGUUUUCGAAUCAUUGAUCGGCAUUUUUACAGAUGACGUUCGUACAUAUCCUUAUCAAUAACAUUUUCAUAUCAACAGCGUAAUUCAAACACGAGCUUUUUUUUUUUUUUUUUCUAAAAAAGUGAUACGUCCUUAUCAAUUGAGUCAACUUAUUACUACAUUGUUGCAUGAGUGAAUGAAAUAUAUAUGCCCUUACCAUCAAGUUUUAGUAUUGCCAAUGUAUACAGCUUCAAACUAGCAUAUACGUUAAUGCAAAAUGCAAUUAGUAUUAUUGAUUGGGAGGGGGGCGGGGGGUUGACGAUGACAUGGUUGUGGCGGGUGGGGACGGAGAUGGCAGGCUGCAAUCUUUAAUGUACGUGUGUCAAAUAUGUAUUGUGCAUUUGAGGGGGGUUGAGCGAGGAAAGAAAAGUGGAGUCCAGGAUUUUUUCCAAUGUGUGUGGAAGGAAGCCUGGAAGGUUGGGAUGCUGGCAACUUGAGAAUGGAUGCAUUGUUGGAUGGAGAUUGGAAAGGUGAUAUCAUGGUGGGCCAGCGAGUUGGAGACCAUUUCUGAAAAGUUUGGGCUCGAGAACCUCUCGUUUUGACAUUUGACCGCAAGUAUUUUAUUUGACUGGAUUCAUUAAAGUUGCUGUAUUAAAAAAUUGAUGGCACAAUUAUCAAAAAAAAAAAAAAAAAAAAAAAAAACUGAUGGCACAUCUUUUACAUUUAUAUGGGCAUUCUUCUCUUUCUACUUUACCAAAUUGAGAUGAUUAAAGCGGUUUAUUCCCUUGCUUUUCUGUGGGCGGCGAAGAGAAAAUUUGGUAAAGAAAACCAGAGAGGAUGAUAAAACGCAAUGGUAGUAACUGUUCCCCUAUUCUAGUUCUUUUUCUCAUUUUCCAGUUGGAGCCAGAAAGCAGAAUUACUACCAAAAGAGACAUUGCAGAAUUCGCGUCUGAUCCGGUCUUAAUUUGGAAAUUGGAGCCAUUGCAGCAUCACUGUUUUAAGUCCUAAUCAAACAAGACGGAACUUGUUCCACGCCACAAGCCUAAUUCGCCUUGUUUGAUCGAUCGCUCACUUUAAUACUUAAAUUUAAUGAAUUUAGAUAUUAAUAUAUUCAGAUGCGUUUGAUAACAAAAAAUUAAACAUCUAAGUAGCACUGAAUUUUUUAGACAAAACUUGUUCCUAAAAAAUAAGUGAUAAGUUAUUCACUUAUUAUUAUCUCUGAACGUGAUAUAUACUCAAAUUUAUUUGAUUUAAUAAUUUAAUAGAUUCAAAUUUUAGAUUUCAGUUUUGAAAUUUUAGUUUUAUCAAACGCCACCCUAAGUUUACAAGCCUAAGCAUGAAGAGGGGAUUUACGAAAGAUAGUGUUAUUUAGUAACUUCUAAUAACUGUUUUUGUUUUGUUUGCUAAAAGAAAUUAUAACUUCUAAUAACUUCAACUAGUUUUAAUAAAUUAAAAAAAAGGGCUUAAUUCUUUCUUAAUUUGCACACGCAUAGGUGUGCUUUUCCCACAAAUAUUCACCUUUUUCUAGGGUCUAAAACUCGUAAUUCUCUCUUCUUAUUCUAUUCCAUUUCCAGAUGGACCAAAAUGAGUGCUUUUCGGAGUCUGGGGUGAGUGGAAAGCAAAUUCGCUUCUCAUCUGGUCACAGCUGGAAUGAGACAGACGAUCGCAGCAUUUCUGCUGGAAUCCAAAUCAAACAAGAGGGAACUUAAUUCAUGCCCCAAGUCAAAAUCACAUUUUGCAUAUCAUGCACGAACAAGAAAACAGUAUCCUGUGUUAUUAUAGUAUAUAAUAAAAACCAGGCCUUUCUUUCACUACAGCCUUUCUUUAACAAGUGUGAUUCUUCAGAAGCUCCCAAUCCCAGGAGGGGAGAUUGGUGAGCCAAGCUCAGGUCGCUAUAGACUCGUAUCCAGAUUUUCUACACUUCCUUCGAUAAGUGAUGACAAGAGCAAGAACCAGUGCUGCUUGAAACAGAAGAAUUACCACCCAAACAUAAUGGGGUAGCCUCGUUUUCUUGUGCUCCUGCAUAAUCUCAAGUAACUGCAUAGUUAAUCUCAGGAGAAGCUGAUUAAGUUUCGGAAAUUAGUACCUUUUCUAAUUACAACUCUUAACCACAUCACAUGACAGCAUAUCAAUACUCUCAUAACACUCUAUUUAACAUCUUUCACUAAUUGGCAGUCCUUCUCCCCCCCCCCCCCCCCCCCUGCGGAGACAUUCACUGCCUCGAGAAGAUUUGUUUAAGCCACGUUAAGAUUGAUCGUGUGUUCAAGUAAUCCUAGAGGGGAAUAAAGGGACAGAUCACAAAAGUGGGGCAGGAUCUUACAUGAACUGAAGCAUGAGGAGCAGAGGUAGCGUUUGGUGAGUGUUGAUCAGGAUCAGCAACUAAGAUGUAAAAGAGUCCCAUGACACCUGUAUGCCUUUGAGCAUUGCUAUAGUUGGAUACAAGAGUUAGAGACUCCCCACUGGAGAUUUUAAUGGAGCCAGGUUGAGGAUAACAUGUUGACAUUCCAACUAUAUAGCCAGACUCAUUUCCUGGUUCCAUUCCCUGCCCAUAUAUUGGAAUGGAGGAGCAUAUAACGCGUCCAUCCUAACAAAAUUGACGGGAAAGAACAGAAAUUCAAAUUCAGAAAAACAACAUUACUAUAAGUGAUUGUAAUUAAGUGAUUAUUAAGUGAUUGUAAUUAGCAUUGCAAGCUAAUACAGGAUAAUAAUGUUCAACUAAUGCAAGGGAUACGAGGGGAUAAUGUUCAACUAAUGCAAGAGAGCUCCCCUCUCAAUGUAACCUGGAAUACUCCAACGUGAAUGGACUGCAUAGUCCUAGGUGCAUCUCAUAAAGGAUAGAAGAUAGAACUAGAAGAGAAGGAAAAAAAUUUGUCAUGUAUCUAUCACGUAAGCAUGACAAGGAAAAGUUUGAAUUAAAUUACCUCCCCAUAAAGAGUUGAACCGAGACCUCCUGUAUGUUGGUGUGCAACACCAUAGAUGACCUCACCCCCAGAUGGCAAAACUAUGGAUACGCUCUUUGUGUGGAUGCAAUCAUCAUGAGCUGUGUUUGUGGAACAGGACUCGAUUAGAUACUCGAUCUGUCAAGAUGGAUAAAACCUUUUAGUUUCCUGAAAAACUUGAAGAGGAAAUGCACUAAAAGAAAGCAAAAUGGUUGAAGCAACACCGUCUACUUUGAUAAUGAUAAUGUUAAAGUAGAACUUUAACCAUUAAUCAUAAAGUUAACAGGUUCUUGAAUAAGAUAUAUAACAUCUGCAAUAGCCAAUUGCUUUUGAAAACAGACUUUAGUACUAGAGUCAUCAGGAGUAGUAAAUCUUUCUAAUCACAAUAUUCAUGAUUUCAGACAAGUUCGUAGGACCUGUAUAUAGGUGCAUGAUCUUUAAGAUGGACUCCAUCACAAUCAAAAUGUAGCUUGAAUUCCAUUAAUGACCUGUUCCUACUUGUGUCAAUUUUAGUUUGGUCUACACAAGUUCUUUUCAAACCUAAGGAGACAUCAUGUAGGUUCUCUCACUCAUCCUGUUAUACACAGGGAACAUGAUAAAACUGCCGCCUCUGCAUAUUUUGGAGGCAGAGCAGUAGUUAUUCCUUAAGAUGCACGGCUCAUACGAAAGUGGUCAAUCACCUGGCAGUUGUGACCAUUUGAUUCUUUAGAAUUGUUCGAUCUUUGCCAUCUAGCAGUUACGUCAAGUAUAUAUAUUUUAGCAGGCAAGAUGGAGUUGUCCCAGUCGACAUACUUGACAGUGUAUUUCAUGAAGAAGCUUCUCCUUGGACUCCUGUACCCUUCUAUAAGUCUGCACUUUGUUUCCUCAUAACAGCAUCUCAUUCCCCCAAUAUAUUCUGGCUCCAAAGCAUUGCCAUCCUCAUCUUGAGUAACAUUAUACAGAUCACACCUGCACUCUGUGCAUCCCAAUUUAUCUUCUGCACCCCUUGUAUCAAUUGCAUGCAAAUUGAGUAUCCAUCCUUCUUCAUAGCCUGCAGGAAUUUCUGCUGGAUUACCAACUUCUAUUCCAUAAGGAUCAGGCACAGCUGUUGCUGUUUUUCUCGUCUCAGAUCCAAGGCCAAAGUACUGGGGAAGAUGGUCAUCACAUAUCCCAUUGUUCUUAAUGACAACAUAAUCUGAUUUUUCAGACCUCUGGUUGCUUGAACUGUUUGAAUUUUCAACUGCUUUCGGUCGGUAGUAUCUCAUAGCAAUCCAGUGGUGCAGAUAAGUUUCAUAGAGAGGUACAGGAUUCCCUGCCUCAUCAACCACUUCAGCAACGAAACUCUUUAUAGCAAUAUGACCUCUUGGAAAGUCAAUAUUGUGAAAUAACUUUUCAGCUACUGAUCCUGGUUCCAGGUCAAACUUAGGUGACAAAAAUACAGCAGUUUUGAUGCCGUUAGCAUUGCUUAGAUGAACUUGGGUAGAACGAACUAUUGCCAUCAGUAGCAGUAAUACCAAGGAGAAUAGCAAAGAGCAAUCUGAAAACAUUUCCGUCCCUUUCUGUCAUCAUAUCAGGUAAAACAAUUAUUUUCGCUGUUAGUACAUGACAUUAAAGUUCAUUUUCCUUUCUUUUUUACCCAGAAAUUGCAGUUCAUUUUCUGAGUCUUCUCUGCAUAAAAUGAAAUGAGGUAUAAAACCAGAUAAAUCAAUUGUUGAAGUCUAUACUUGAUACUCAUUUGAUUAAAAAAUUUGCAUGUCAGAAUUUGAGGCUACUUCAUGGCUGAUAUGGUACUACCCAUACCAGUAGCGAGUUCUGAAAGCAGACGAAGAACAAGUACUUCACACUCUGCGAAUUUUUCCUCAUUGUCAUGUAUAUCAGAAUUCAGAAGAAAUUGUUGAGCUUGAAUGCAUCACAACAAUAAUAUUCAGUUUUCCAGCUUAAUAAAUGGAAUAGUAACAGGAUCAACUGGAUCAAGCAAUUAUUAUCAACCAGCUAAUGGAUGGAACAGUAUCAGACAUGCAUUUAUAGCACUAAAAAACCAAAAGAUCUGGAACAUUUUGACAUUUAGCGACUGAGAUACGCACAAGAAUGAUGAAAUUCUGUUUAUCUGGAAAUAAAGAAAAGCUAAAGUUGAACUUGCCGUGUAAGAAUGCAGAGGAAUCCAAGUAGUGAUAUCAGCUUCAAAGCUUAUUACUAUUUCUUAACAGUUAGCAAACUCCAGGUUGAAAGAAAACUGACUGAACUUCAAAUUCCGUCCACGAUACAUAUCUACAGAGACAGAGAGAGAUAGAGAACUACUUUGCUAUUGACAAGCACAUAGAAGUUCAAAUUACAAUAUUUAUGUUCUAGAUUCCAGUGAUAAAUAUGACACGCAAAUGGUUCAAGCUUUGGACUGUUAUCUUGAAAAUCCGAGACAUAAGAAACAAGCACAUAGUAGUUCUUGAAAAUCCGAGACAUAUGAAACAAGCACAUAAAGAAUUAAAGCACGUAGAAGAGGAAAAUUGUGGGAAAUAAACAGGAUUAACUGAAAAUGGAUAGCAUUAAAACUCUUGACUGCAUAUGUCCAUCUGGUGUGUGCUACAUUUAUAAUCAAGUUUGAAUUACGUAGUACAGAAGCAAGAACCAGAGAAGCAGGGAAGCAGCUUUAACCCAAACUAAUUUAGAGCCAUAUUUGAAUUCUCAAAAUGGGUAUACUUACAGAAGCAAGAACCAGGGAAGCAGCUUUAGCUGGAAAUGAUGAACAUAAAGAGCCCAAAUGAGGUCAAUGAUCGUUCUCCAAAGUUUGUACUAGCCUUUUAAGAUUAUUCAAAUACCCAUUGUGUGAACAUUGGAAAAUGUCAAAUUGAUCGUUUGACAAAAAAAAAAAAGAAGUCAAAUUAAUAUGUCACCUAGAGGCUAGAGCCUCCAAUGGAGUGUUUUGAAUAUACACACAGGCCACAACCACUGCUGAAACCAUUGUGGGGAAGUUUGUUAGACAUAAAAAAAUGAAAUGGUCAAAACUCAAAAGAGGAGAAAACAGUUUUAAAAAGGUGGUUCGUUUUCAAUUGUCGUCAGGGACAGUGAAAUCCAUUUUGUCUUUCUUCAGCGAGUCUUUCUUAGUUUUGGGGGAGGGGUCAUUCUCCAUUCCGCACUACUUCCAUAUUUUGACAAUGCCCAGUAGUUUAUUUGAAAGUCAAAGCCAUGAAUUUUUUGAAGUAGAGAAGCUUGGUUGUGCGUUCUAAUAUUUCAAAGACAGCGGCUUUCAAACUAGCACAGGAUCGCUUUCUGAUGGGUACAGACUCCUGUAUGUAGGGAAUUGAGAACGUGUGUGUUUGAUUCGUAUUAAACUCUGGCGACUUUUUGUGCAGCUAAAUGUAGGAAUGGGGUUGCAGUUGUAAAACGAUUGUAAAUCAUCCUGGAACUGGAAGGUUGCAGCUGAAGACUGGCAAAUUUGUAAAGAAUCCAGCAUUUAUCCAACCUUUACUACAGAUGAUUUGUUACCUCGGACAAAAUGGUUUGCGUUUCCUGAACUACAAUGUCCACUAAACACACACACACACACACACACUGGAUGUAAAUGCUAUGACAAGUCCGGUUUCUGUCAGAGCUCUUCCUUUGAGCCAUCACUAGCGAUAGCCUUGGAAUAAAAUUCUCUCCGUUCUAUGAGGAUUGCACCUUGUGCAGUAUCUGAAAAUGCUACGUAAAAAGCGAGUAUCAAAUUCUCAGCUGCUGAUGCCAUGGUGAACUGUUUCCUCGUAUUGUUAAAGAGCUCAUUGAUCAAUAAAACAACUGAAAGAAGAUCCAUGCUUUUACACACACAUAUGGCUGCCAGUUACAACCAAACAAAUUCUUGCCAUAUUAUUGCCACAGAAAGUACAUGUAUACGAAGUGGUUUACACUGUUAACAAAGAGGACAUGGAGGAGACGAGAGAACUUAAAACCAUCUAAAGAUGGUGAUACAACAGACAUCAAAAUUAAGAUAGACAAGCUCACAUCGUUAUUGGUUCGUAGUUAUCCCCUCUUUGGUUUCUUCUCUGAUAAGCAACAAUAACAGCAGCAAGAACUGCAAUUCCUAGCAGCGCCAUACCCACGAUAAAAUCGGGCGUCAACACUCUCUUAUGUAUCUGCACAAAUCAGAACGAUGAGAGCAAGUUUCACUCCAAAUUGUUAAUUAAAAAGCUCGUGAGGAAAACAGAAUAGACUCAUACUCCAACUGGAGCAUGCUGGGAAGAGUUAAGUUUUGCGGACGAGUCUGAAUCUGCAACCAAUAUGUAAAAAAGUCCCAUGACUCCUGUAUGCCCUUGUUCACUGCUAUAAUAAGAUUUUACAGUCAGAGUUUCCCCAUUGGAUAUCUUCACAGAACCAGGUUGAGGAUAACACGUAGACAUCCCUACAAUGUAACCAGCCUCAUUUCCUGGUUCCUUCCCUUCUCCAUAAAUUGGAAGUGACGAGCAUAUAACUCUUCCAUCCUGAAUAAUCCACCAGAGAAUCAAGACUCAAAAAAAAGAAAGCAGGGAAUUCACUAUGAGACCACCUAAUCAACAACCAAUAAACGGAGAUUUCAACAUAAUGCAUAAAAGUAAACAAGAAUCAAUUAUAUGAACACAUCUAACUGAUCCACGAAACUAGACAGAAGCAAUAGAUGAACUAAUUUGAUUUUUAGCAUCAAUUUCAUAAUUAGAUGCCAGUUAUUGGCAAAAGCCAAUGGCAGCAAGCUAUCACAAAAGGCAUACUUGCAACUACUCAGCGCGUUUCUUGUCAUCAUUAGCCUUCUAUAGUAUAAAGGAAGGAAAACAAUAAUCUUGGAGGAAAUAUUUACUAGCAAUAUGACUUUUGCACAAAGUCAUGUAGUUCAACAAGAGAUUCAUUCUGCCCUUUCCCUUUUAUUCUCUUGCCUUUGUACUAAAAAGAAAAUAUAUAUAGAAGCAGAAAUGACAAGAUAUACUCAAGACAGGCAACUUGUAGCCAUGAACUUAAGAGUACAGACAUGCCACGUCAGUAUCAAGGAGCAUCACACUAAUGAGGCUAUUGCUUCAAGCCUCAAAAGACAGAAAAGAGGCAGAAGAAGCUUGAAGAAUCAUAAGAUCGAAAGGCAGGUCUUUCCCUAAUUGAAAUUAGAUCUGUGAACGAUAAAUGAUAUACAGUUGCGUGAAAGGUUCAAAACACAAAAUCAAUUGGAAAUUUUUUAAGUAAUAAUCAUCCAUCUCUUUGCUUUACUAAAAUUACAUCUAGAACUUCCUCCUUACAUAGAAUUGAAAUGUAAAGAUGAAAAGAUACCAAAUUCAGGGAUACAUCAAUUGCUGGCUAGUUGUUAGGAACAUUAUACAUAUCUUAAAUUACUUCAAUGCAGGAAAACCUUUAUUUCUUUUCAAAAAAAAGUAGGAAAUAUAUUAAGGAGCAGACUUAUCGAAUAUGGUUAUUAUGUCAGAAAGCAGAAUCAAUUGCCAACAAUUUUGAUGUAUAGCUAGUGAAACGUGAAACAAUAAAACUACCUCUCCAUGAAGAGUUGAACCAACUCCUCCUGUAUGCUGGUGUGCAACACCAUAGAUCACGUUACCACCAGCAGGCAGAAUUAUGCUUACACUUUUAGUAUGAACACAACCACCUUUUGUAACACCAGCUGGGCAAGACUCGACAUCAUACUCAAUCUGUUUCAAGGUAGUACAGAAUAUUUUAAAUCCUGAAUGGCAUGUAAAAAUUUCACUAUACCCAUCAACAAGUUUUUUUUAAUAUAUAAUUUCUUUGUGGAUAAAUAGAAUAACAAAUAGAAGGACUUGACAUAUUACCAGACAGUCAUGUCUUGAACUGAUUCCAUCAGACUUUUUCCAUCUAUCUGUCACAUCAAAUAUAUACACUCUAACGGGCACAAUGGAGCUAUGCCAAUCAACAUAUGUUACAGUGUACUUCAAGUAAAGGCUUCGCUUCACACCUUGAAACCCUUCUUUCAACCUGCAUCUGGUCUCAUCAUAACAACAUCUCAAGCCUCCAACGUAACUUGGGUCCAGGUUAUGGCCAUAUUCAUCCACAGUAACAUUAUAGAGAUCACACCUGCACUCGGUGCAUCCUAACCUAUUUUCUGCACCCCGUGUAUCAAUUGCGUGCACAUUGAGAAGCCAUUUCUCAUCAUACCCAGCUGGUAUCACUGCAGGGUUACCAAAUUCUAUACCAUAAGGAUCUGGUACAUUGUUGCUUGUUUUUCGUGUCUCAGAUCCCAGGCCAAAAAACUGGGAAAGUACUUGUGCACAGACCCCAUUAUUCCCAGCUGAAAUGUAAUCUGACUUCUGAAAACCAACCCUGCUAUGGUAUUUGGGCGUUUCAACACCUCUACGUUGGUAAUAAUUUACAGCAACCCAGUGAUGGAGAUAAGUUUCAUAAAGUGGGAUGGAGUUUCCUGCCUCAUCAAUCACUUCAGCAUCGAAACUCUUAACAGCAAUAUGGCCUCUUGGGAAAUCAAUGUCAUAGUAAUACUUAUUAAUCACUGAUCCUGGUCCGAGCUCAAACUUAGGUGACAAAUAGACAAGAGUUUUCACCCCAUUUUCAUCUGUCCCAGACAUUAAAAAACUUUGAAUAGUAUCCACCAAUAACAAAGUAGCCAGGAAAAUGAACUGGCAUUUCGAACCCUUUGCCAUCUUCUUAUUCUCACUUCUUUAAUAUAUCUGUAUAACAUUAGGGAAAAAAGCUUAAUGACGAAAUUAUGUCAGUAAUAGCCAAAUUGUUCCAAAAAAUCUCAUCCAAUUGCAUCACCUUCAACAAACAUAGCUUACCCAUAUCAUUAAACUGCAUAGCUACACACCAAGAUAAACAAAAAAGCGGCAGGAUCAUUAAUUUAACUAUGCGGAUUAUCGCAUACUUAACUUGUUGCAGGAUCUUCCUAUUCUCCUUGUUCUUCUUCACCUCAUGGACCAAAUUGUUUAGAUCAUUUAAAAAAAAAAAAAAAAAAAAAGGAAAGUAGGAACAUCACAAUAAGGAAACAGCAGCAUCCGACACCUACAAGUGCAGUGGCUUUAACUUAGGUGGCUAAUUACGGACAAUAAAAGAGAAAAUAAAGAGUCUACAACCAGAAAUCAAAUUCGUGCAUAUGCGAACCAGCAAUAGCAAGUUAGCAACAGAAAACUACCCAUAAAAAUUCUCAAAUUUCCGGGCCACAAAACUGUAAAGAUAUGUCUUUCCAUAACAAUAGACAGUACAGAAAUAGAAAUGAUAAACUUUGACCAUAAUCCAAGUAUCCUCCAGUCUCCACCAGAGAGAGUAGCAACAGAAACAAGAGAACUACUGUUCCUUGGGUAACUUACUUUCAGAAAACUAACCAAGAGCGAUGAUGGGUUCUUGCUCUAGUUGUUUCCCUUGAAUAUUUAUUACCUACAGUCUACGUUUAUGACACCCAAAUGUUUUCUUGGAAUCAUAUAAACAAAACAGCAUUCAGUAGUAAGUCGAACAAUUAUCAAAACUAUAACAAUCAAGAAUGUAAAAACAGCUUACCAAAUUUCACAGCACAUCUGCAAAAGAAGAAAGUUUCAAUUUUUUUCUCAAACAAGAGACUGGCGCAGCAGAGAACAUGUGAAUGUAAAGAACGGGUUUUUAAGGGCAUGCUACGUAGUCUUGAGAGCAAUCAUUAUUUUAACAUUGGCGGAAAAAAACUGGGUGGCGGAUGGAUAUUUGCGCAGUCAAUGAUGCCGACGUGUCCGAUUUGCUGAGGCCAGUGCUUAGCUCAUUACCCUGGAUCUUUCAAUCCAAAUCGUGAAAUAGGAGACGGCGGAUUAUUCUUGUUUCCGGCCGCUAGUAGGAAGUAUUUUUGCAGGUCUUUUCUUUUUUCUUUUAAAAAAAAAAAAAAAAACUUUUUCACAAGUUUAUUGCGUUUUGGAUUUGAUAUACAGGAUGCCCCUUUCGUCGUUGCCUGGAAAGUUUUUGACAAAUGACAAGUUUCUCUGUUAAGGUUUUCUGCUGAGACAGAAAGCGACGGGGCAUCUUACUAGACAUGGAAAUUUAUUAUUAUUAUUAUUUUUUGGUAAAAUAAGACAAUAGUAGCAUAAAUAGCAAAAUAAUCAGUAAAAAUAUUUCCUAAUCCAGGAGGGCCUGCAUCAAGGAGUCAAAAGGAGCACAAAAGCUUUCCAUUCCAUCUUUGCCACAGCUCUCUGCUCCUCCAUUAGCUUCUCUGUAGGUGUGUUCCACUCGCAUUUGCUAGAGAAUUCCGACUGCUGCAACCUGACAAUCAAUCAGCUUCCAAGACUCGGACCAAGUAACAACAAUGAUGAAAGUAUGGACCUUGUGAAAAUUAAUAAUGAAUUCGGGGACAAAGAGGGGAGCGGCAUUAAGUAGCAAUGAGCCAAACUUCGCGUCAAGCUUUUUUCAUGAUUGUGUUUGGAUAAUAGAUUAUUUGAAUAGGAGAUUAUUUGGGAGCGGCAGCAUAACGGUGACGUAAACAAAUAAAUUUGGACAAAUAAUCUUCUAUCCAAACACACUCUAGUAGUGUGUUUAGAUAAUAGAAGAUUAUUUAAGAUAAUGUUUUGAAAAAAAAAAUAUUAUAGCAUUUUUUUUAUGUAAUGUAUGCGAGAUAAAAAAGUGGUUGAAAAAUGUGUUGAUAAUAAUGCAAUCAAGUCAGUAUACGUAAGUAAAUAAGGUGUAAAUAAAGUGUAAACCAAACACAACUAAAAAAAAUACUAUAAUAGGCGAAUAAAAAAAUAUGUUGAUGAUACAAAUAAAUAAAUUUUGACAAAUAAUUUUUAAUUCAUACAAACCAAGAAGAAAAUGUGAUGUUUGUUCACCAGCAUCUUCUGAGUUUUUGAGGGAAAAAAAAAGCCAAAUUCCAUGAAAAAAAAAAACAGAGAAAAUUCCGUCAAUAAUUAAUGACAAUAUUUAGUUAAAAAAUAGCCUCUUUUCCAUAGCCUUCUAGAUUUUGGAGUUAUUUUAUUAGUUUACUAUAAAUUUAUGUUGUUUUAUUAUCAUAUAAUUUUACACCUAAUUAAUUAGUAAAGAAAGAAGAAUAUUAAAACAAAAGGAUGUGGUCAUUGGAUUGAAAUUUUAGUCGGAAGCCCUUGGAUUGACAUUUCCCUAUAAAUUAUGCCAUUCUCAAAAAAAUUGACAAAGUGACUUGAGAGAAGCUUAAACUAAUAUAUUUUUUGAUGAGCGGAAAUAUCUAAGUCUAGGUGGAAGAUCUACGCAGAAGGGAAAGAUACUUAACCGUGAAGCAAAAACAGACAAGUACACGUGUAGAUAGAGCCCCAUCAUUUUGUACUUUUAUAAAUCAAGCCAAGUUCUUUAUUUUGCAUGAUAGAAUUGACCACGUUAAGCGCUGCUGGGCCAUGAAUCUUUUUGUGGGCACAACAUGGGAGAAUUGAUAAGAAGUCUACUUCAAUCGGAUGGGCCUAGCUUACUUGUCCCGAAAGACAUUAAAAAGCCUCCUUCACUUAUUUUAUUGGCUUGCACAAAAACAGGAAGAAAAAACCCAGGAAAUAGCUCUUAUUUUAUGUGGUUAGAGUAUGAAAAAUUGCUAUAUAAUAAACGAGAGAAGGAAAAAAAAUGCAUGAGAGAGAGAGACGAUAUGAAUACACACGUGAAUAGAAAAGAAUGUGUGCACAUACAUGUGUGUGUGAAAAUAUGCAUGCACAUGUGAAUAGAAAUGUGUGGUCUAAAUAAUUUUUUUUGCAUAUAGUAAUUGAAUGAGUUUUGGUAUAACAUCUAUAUCUAUAUAAAUUAGAGAAGGAGUUUGUAGCAUGGUUAAGUAUAAAUGCUUCCAACCCCUCAUUUUUUUUUAUAGAAUUUUGAAUUUUUUUUAAGUGUUAUAUAUCCUUUUCACACCUUUUGAAUUUAAAAUGUAAGAAGAUAUUCCACUUAUAUAGGAAUUUGGUUUGAAAACUAUUAAUAUAAGGGUAAAUAAAAAGGAAACAUUAGCACACCUAUUAAAAGUAAAAAAGUAAAUAACAAUAUUUUACCCUUCAACUUAGUAAUUUUAACUAAAAUGGCAAAUUAUAUAAAAAAAACAAAAAGGAAAUAAUAUUCAUUAGUCAUAGAUUUAAAAAUUCAAGAAUGGUACCAUUCACGAAGUUUAAAUUAUGAAAUCACUAAAUAAAAAACAAAGUCAUAUUGGCAUUUCAACGUGGAAAAUAUAUAUAACAUUUGACCAUAAACUGCAUCUACUUAAUUUGUACAUAUCUUAUCCAAAUUUGACUCUUAUUCAUUAUUUUAUGUAUUCUUUUUGUUUUCUUCAUAUGUAAAUAUGUAACUGCUAUAUGUGUGUGUGUAAUAGUUAAGGGUAUUGUAAGAUAUUAUCAGUUUUUCGUUUGCAUUUUUAGAUGCCAAUGCUUGCAACCAUUGUGUUCAAUUUUCAAUUUUAUAUGAUUUUCAUAUUAUGAGAGGGAAAAUUAAAUAUAUUGCAAAAUGUUAAACCAAAUUGCAAGUUAUGAUUUUCUUUUGUUUCAAAUUUUAUCUUUCCAAUUUUAUUUUGAAAGUACAUAUAUCAGUACAUUUUAAAAUGUAAAACCAAAUUACAAGUUAUGGAAAAUUUUCUUUUACUUCAAAGUUUAACCCCUCAAUUUGGAGGUUGAAUAUGGAAUGAAUCACAAAAUUUCUCUUUUGAAAAUUUGAAAUAAUUUAAUUCAAUAUUUUUGUGUGUGGCCAAGUCAAAAUUAAUAUGAAAAAUAACUAAAUUUGGCAUUUUUUUAUACUUUUGUAUUGAAUUUUCAUUUUUAUAUUUUACUCGCCAAAUUUACUUUAUAGUAGUGUAACAUUGACAAUAUGUUAAAUUAUAUGUUUUCAAUAAAAAAAAUAGAGAAAUUUAAGACUCUCGGACCAAUAGAGAUAGGAAAUGGCAAUCGUAAUUACUAUUAUUUAAAAAAGAAAAUUCCAACACGAACACAACAUAGUAUAUACAUAUAUGUACAUAUAAUUCUCAUAAGCAUAUAAGAGAAAACUAUAGAUUUUGUAUAGCAUAAUAUAUCUUAAAUGAAAAAUUGUAAUAUUACUUUAUUCUGGUUUGGCCAAAUGGAAGAAGAAAAGAGAAAUAAGGGAAAAAGAAUUGGAGGAGGUUGGGGCGUGAGGGAUGGAGGUUGGAGGGGCUGUCUAAGGGUUUGGAAGAAUGAUGAAGAAAAAGAUGUGAAAAAUUAGGGGUAGGAAAUUAGAGAAGAGAGGAAUGGAAUACUAAGAACGGAAAAGGUCGAAAUGAAAGUGAACUACUAAGUUGGGCAGAGAAAAAAGGGAAAGAAAGAAAGAAAUUGUGGAGUAUGACAAAGGUGAUAAAAAAUGAAAGGAGGAAUUGCACUGUGAUUGAAUGUGUGAAGGUCAUAUGAGACAAUGGAUAGGGAACUGAAAAUGAGAAUGAAAAUGAUAAUAAUAGUUUUCAAUAAUUCUAAAAACUCUAGAAACACAGCUUGCAAAUAUUUUUUUAAUCUAUAUUAAAAUCUAUGAAAAGCAUUAGUUUACAAGCACUUAACAAUUUUAGGACUACAAGAUAGGAGAAUUUUUUUUUCUAAAAUCGUGGAAAAUAAAUCAGUCCUAAUUUAUGUUAUUUAUAUUAUAAAUAUUGAUAUAUGGUUAUAAACUGUAAUAUAUAUUAUAAAUUUAGUAUAAUUUUUUAGCCUUUGUCAUAUAUUUUAUCCUAUAUUACAAUAUAUAAAAAUGUAUUAUUAUUUUGAACUAAAAAAUAAGUCCGUGCACAGCACGGGUCAAAAUGCUAGUUUCAACAAAUUAGUAAGUAGAGUUUUACUUGAAUGUUUGUAUACAAAGCAGUGGUGCUUAAUCAAUUCAAUGUCACACUAAAUUUCGUUAUCAAAGGGCCUCAAGAAAUUUUAUUUUAUCCAAAAAAAAAAGAAGAGCCCUAUAAGGCUAGAAGUCUAUAGAACAAAAAGAUUAGGAAUAAUUUCAGAAACCUCCCAUAAGAUUUUUGACAAUUUCACUGAGCUCCCCUAAAAAUUUAAAAAAUUACACCUACCUCUCUUGAUUUAAUAGCUUUAGUAGUAAAAUUUUAAAAUAAUAUUGACUUAGUCAAAUUUUUUAAAAGAAUAUCCAAAAAUGCCCUUGUGUAGUGAGUUUUUAAUUUACUUCCCUAUACAAUUAUAAGAUUAUCUAGAUAAUUAUAAGGAAAAUGUGUCAAAAUUUUCAUGUCCAUACCUAUUAUUUGAUAAACAACUGUAAUAAUAAUAAAAUUAUCACUAUGAUAGGAUAAUUUUGAUAGUAUUAUUAUGGCUUUAGAUUUAAAAAAAAAAGAAAAGAAAAAGUCAAAAUAAUGGAUUUAAAGUUGAAUUUUGUGAGUAGUGAAAUUAUUAUAAUUUAAUAGUGAUUUUGGGCUAUUUUUUUAUUUAUUGUUAAUUUUAAUACCAAAAAAUAAAAAAAAGAUUAACAAAAAACAUUAGAUUAUGUAUAAAGUUAACUCAUCCAAAAAAUCACUAGUUCAACAUUUUGUUACAAUAGAAAAUAGAGAUAAUAGCAGUAGUUCUACAGUUUUAUUGAUAAAAAAUUAAAAUAAAAAGGAAUAAGAAGGACAAAGAAUGAAAAAAUAAUUUUAAAAGUCAUUUUAAAUAUAAGCAUACCAAACAAGGGAAUUUUAUUAAAAUAUUUAAGGGUAGUAUUGUCAUUUUAAAUAAUUAUGGAGGUAUGUAUAAUUUUAAAAACCUUGAGGGAGCUAAAUGAAAUUGUUAAAAACCUCAAGGGACGUUUCUGAAAUUAUCCCAAAAGAUUAUGAAGAUUGACCAAGUAGGAGAAUGACGAGGCAGUUGUUGGCUGUUUAAGAAAGAGGCGGAGUCUAAGGGUCUGCUCCCAAUAUGCCGGGAACAAAAACCGCAGCUUCUGUUCUUUUAUGCACUCCUCCAUUUCUAUCUCAAUCCAAGGAAAAAAAAAAAAAAGAAAAUCUGAGACGAAAAGGAAAAGAAACACAAAUUUAAAGAAAGAAAAAUUGAGUGAAAAGCUAGAGCAAACGAAUCCCAAGAGCCCAGAGCCUUGAAUCCAGAAUUACAAUGAUGGAUAAAAAAGAAAGGGCAAGGGAGAAAAGAGAAAUGAGGCGCCAAGAGAUCUCUCUUCUCCGCACCAUUCCCUAUUCCGAUCAUCAAAGGUAAUUCUUUUAGUUACUCUUGGAGCAAUUUCUUCUGCUUUCAUGUAUCUGUUAGAAAUCCUGAAUAAUUGAUCGUUGUAAAUCUGUAUGCCCUUGAAAUUACAUAAUCUGUUCAAGCUAAAACGGGUUAAUUUUCUUUAUCUGCUUGAUUGAGGAUGUAAAUUUACUUGGAUUUCGAUAAUGGGCUCCUUCUGAUAUGCAUGCUGAUUGCAUAUUGCAGCAUUUCAUACAUUACAAAAGCAUUAGGAUUCAGGUUGAACAUGGUAUUCUAUUUUCUCUUUCCUUUUAUCUUCUGUUGUUCUCGGUGCGUUCUCUUUAGGUUGAGAUUUAUAAUUGAUUAGCUCAUUGUUUCAAUCUAAUGCAUAUCUUAUUAAGAGCGGUUGGGGAGGUUUUAGGAUAAUGCAGUUUGAAUGAGGAUUUGGGGUGUCAAAUGGGAACUUUUGUAGGGUUGGAUGAAUGCCACGGUAUUUAGACGCAGUAAGGUUAAUGCUGGAAUUAUGGCGCUUAAAAGCAUAGUUUGAUUGACCCAUUUUAGCCUCUAAAUUAUGGCUUGAAUAAUUAUGUAUGCAUGAAAUGCCAGUUUUCUUUUGAAUUAGUAGAGGUAUGCUAAUCUCCUGUCCAUAACUGGAAGGAUGUUUAAAGAUUAUGAAGUUAGUCAUAUGUCAUUGACUAUGUUUUUACAUGGUCGCAUUUUGGCUAUAGACAUGGCUAGAAUAUACAGGCAGCUGUUUAACUCAUUUAAUACUUUCUAUUUUCCAUGGAUAAAGUGUUUGUUCAUUGAUAUGUCUCAUGUCCAUUGCUUAUGAAUCUGACUUGUACAUGAGAAGUGUUAAACUAUUUGUAAAUUUGAACAAUUUAAUAAAGAGAAUCAAAUGCUAGAUAAUUCUGAAGUAGUUAAAAACACAGACUUCCUAACCAUGAAUCUGGGAGUAGAUUUCAGUUCACUUAUUAAGUGCAUGAACUCCACUAAACUAACUCCAUUACUAUGUUAUCACUGGAUAAAGCCACUAUUAAUUUGUGACGUUUUAAUGAACAAAAAUGUUUUUCUUGAUCACAGUAUCAGGUCAUCUAUUAAGUUAUCCUUUUGCAUAAUUUAUCUAGUUAGGCCUAUUCCUCACUUGCAACAACUUCCGUGAGUGUGUGUGGAACUAUAGACAAAUUACAACAUCGGAAAAUACAUUUCUUAGAGAAAAAAGCUUUGAACAUAAGAUCUGUAAAUGUUGGUAUUUCAGAUGGUGGUCUUCUGAUACUGUUGCUGUGGUUACGGGUGCCAAUCGGGGAAUUGGUUUUGAGAUUGCACACCAACUUGCAAUGCAUGGAUUGACCGUCAUUCUCACAUCACGAGAGACUGGUGUUGGUGAAGAGGCAGCAAAGGUCUUGCAAGAAGGGGGUCUAAAUGUGGUCUUUCAUCAAUUGGACAUAGUGAAUCCUUCAUCAAUUGAGACAUUUACUGAAUGGAUACAACAAAAUUAUGGCGGCUUGGAUAUACUGGUAUGAUGGAACCCAUUUCAAUACGUACUUAUGCUAAAAUUGAUGCAUGUGACAUAUUAAUUUCAUCAAGGACGAAGGGAGGAAAGAAAAGAGAAAGAAGAAAAGAAAAUAAGGGAUUAUAGAUAAGAAGAAGGCUGAUUAUCUAUUAAAGUGUUCUCACUCUACCUUACUGUUGUCAUAUCCUCUCUGAUUGAAGCUAAGCUACUUUUCAGUUGUUAACGUGAAUUUGUAGGUAAACAAUGCAGGAAUUAAUAUCAAUAUUGGGUCAGAAAACUCAGUUGAACAUGCUGAAAAGGUUAUUGAGACAAACUACUUUGGCACCAAAAGCAUGAUUAAAGCUAUGAUUCCAUUACUUAGGCCUUCAGCUUCAGGUGCUCGUAUUGUUAGUGUCACCUCACGUUUGGGAAGGUUAAACGGCCGACGAAAUGUAAGUAAUACUUUGAUACUUCCAUGUAUUUCUAUUUGUAUUGCAUUCAUGUUUUCUGAAAUCUGUCUUGAACUUUUGUUUCUUACCUGUUAACUUGUUUGAUUGGGUAAUUGUGCUAUCCGUAAUAAAUAAAUUUGGGUUAUGUACGUACCUCUUUGGGAUCCAGGGAAUGAUUUUGGUCCCAAAAACAUCUAUUUGUUUUGCUUUGAUGAAUGUAAUGUUUAAGGCCAAAAUAACAGAGGUACCUGUAGCAUGCACAAUGAUAAUUGUGAUACUUGUUGGAAGGUAUAUUCCUCCACAAGUAGUGGCAAAGCAUAUGUGCUUCUUUUUCUGCUGUUCUAAACUUAAAUAGGAAAUUGGAAUCCUUUUCAUUCUGUGUGUCUUCUCACAUAAUCUCUGACUUGCGUUUUUUGUUAGAAUAUGUAUUUCUUAAUGUUUUUCUGUUGUUACUGUAGCCUAAAGUUAUGUUUCCCUUCCAUUUGACUUCAGCCCCCAAAACCCCUGCAGGAAGGGAAAAAAAAAAAGAUUGCUGUUCUCUAUUUCAUUCAUUAUCAAGUCAAGCAGCUUAGUCUGCUUCUUGAUAUGAGUUCCUUGGCAAUCUGUGCAAUUCUGGAUAAUCCACCAAUCAAGUGGUUAAAUACCUACACAUGGUAGCAGUAAAUAACCACAAGAGAUUGUGGAAUAUAUCCUUUGAGUUGAGAAAUCGUGUGAGAAUUCUAUGAGAUCACCUUCUUUUUAGUCACAUUAUUCUUGAUUUUCUAAUUUACAAAUACAUUUUCCUGCAUCAAACAUUCAAGUGUUUGCUUAUUUUCUGCUAGAGAAUUGGAAAUCUUACGUUGAGAGCGCAACUGGAAGAUGUGGGCUCGUUGUCUGAGGAAUUAAUUGAUGGCACUAUGAACAAAUUUUUGGAACAAGUCAAAGAUGGUACUUGGGAAUCUGGCGGAUGGCCGCAGGUAUAUACAGACUACUCGUUGUCAAAGCUAGCAGUUAAUGCCUACACAAGGCUAAUGGCGAGAAUUCUGUCCGAUCGGCCUGAGGGUCAUAAAAUAUACAUCAAUUGCUAUUGCCCAGGAUGGGUUAAGACUGCCAUGACUGGCUGGGCUGGGCAUAUUCCUCCUGAAGAUGGGGCUGAUACAGCAGUUUGGCUUGCACUACUCCCUGAGCUGUCUGUAAGCGGCAAGUUUUUUGCAGAGAGACGUGAAAUCAAUUUCUAAACUUGUGAUUGACUAUUGUUGUUGAAUUUGAGUUAAAGUCUACUUUGUGUUUGGCCAAGACCAGGCGUAACCAGAAACAACAGAAGGAAAGUAUAUCCGUUCAGAGACUUGUGCUAGGAUUUGCCUUUGAAACUGCAGUGUUUCCAACUUAGCUAGCUGUUGGAGUAAAGAAUCUACCGGGCUGUCAUAGAGAUUUUUGGUCGCAUACCAACCUAACUCGGGCAACAUGGCGAUGGAUGGAGGCAAGAGCCGAAGGAAAUGCAAGACAAUUUCAAUCUAGCACUAAUAGGUUUUCUUUUCAGUUGUGCAAGUUUCUUUUCCUUUGCCCAUGUUUUGCUUUAGAAACCAAUCAGCUCAACAAGUAAAUGCAAUGGCAAAUACUCGAGGUUCGAAUAGUGUAUCCUCACUAUGAAUUUUUUUUUAUUCGCCUGUUACAAUAAUAUGAUUCCUCUGGAAUAUUUGUCCAGUGACACAAUAUGUGCUCACCAUGUUACAGUUAAAUUAUGCGUAAUUUCUUGGUUGGUAUAUUAGGAGGAAGGAAAUUUGAUUUUAAAAAAAAAGUAUUGCCAUGCAAAAUUGGAGUUAAAAGUGAUGCAUUGAGUUGAUCUACUCAACAGAUCACCAUUGUACUUUUACUACCCAUUAUUGUCAUUUCUUCUCCUGUUAAAUCAUCUACAUUCAACAGGCACAGGAAUGCACCACAGAAAGCAAUGUGUUUGGAUUGCAUUUUCCGUCAUUUUUCAUGAAAAAAAUAUUUUAAAUGAGGGAAAAAGGUGAUAGAGAAAUGUGAUCACGGAAAACGACAAUAUUUUCCGACAGAAACAAGCAAUCCCAACAAGACAGUUUUUACUAACAUCCAUUAACAAUUAAUGUCCCUUUGAACCAAUAUAUUCUUGUAAAAACACUCUUGAUUAAAAAAAUAAUUUAAUAUAAUAAUCACCAGAGAUAGCAAUAAGUCGAGUCAAUAACAUCGAAUUCAAUUUUGACUCGGCUCGAAUUUGACGAAUAUUAUAUUCAAACUCACUUAAAAAAAUUUUAAAGAGCUCGAACUCACUCAAGAAAAUAAAACGAAUUUAAACUUGAGUCGAGCACAAAUUCUAUAAUAAUAAUAGUAAUAAAGAUUUUUAUAGUUUCGCUAUCAAAUAUACAUGUGUAUGUGAAAAUUUUGCAAAGCUCACAAACUUUUGAGUCGAAUGCAUUAAUUUAAAGUUUGACAGCUUCAGCUCGAAUGAGCAAUUGAGUGAGCUGCGAGAGGAAUUUGCGCGUUUUCCCGGGAAACCAGGCGGACUGGACAUUACAAAGCCACGCUAACACCGCAUACGCACUUUACCCAAAUGUACGAUGCAAAAUAAAUAAAAACAAAAAAAAAAUCCCAAUUUCCGUCGGUGAUCGUUAAUAGCAUCCCAAAACUUAGAAUUCUUUAUCCUUCAAAAGAGCAGUAGGUAAGAACCCAAUUUCAAUUUCCUCCAGAUUCAGAGAAUUACAGAAAUUAAUCAUCCACUCCCUGACUUCUCUUGCUUUAGAACCUCAAGCAGAAGGUUCUACACGGAGGCCCAAGAUGUAAGUUUAAACUCCUUUCCAAUUUUUGGUUAGUAGUUGGUUGUUAGGCCUAAGAUUAUAUUUCUGACCCUUUUUUUGAAGCUUUUUGUCAUUGAACUUUUUUUUUGGGAUGAAGAUUUAGGAACCCCAAGCAUUCCAACAUUUUCAAAGUCGCGUCGUCUGAGGUAAUUUCAUACCAGAAAUUACGGUUUUGUUCCCUCUUUCCAUCAACCACCAUCCAUGUCUUGAUUUUACCGGUUGAAUUUUUGAAUAUCGCGAUGAGUUUUAGAAUCCUGCCGGAGUUGGAGGUUCUAAACUGAUAUGAUUGUUCUGUCCAUUUUGUUGUAUUUUCCACACACACACACACACACACUCUCUCUCUCUCUCUCUCCUUAUUAAAUUUUGAGUUUUGCUAGGAUUGGUUUCUAUUCUUGAUAGUAAAGCAAUGAUCUUUACUGUACAAGUUUUUCUUUUUCAGUUCAUUUUGAUGUUGUGAUUUACAUAUUAAUUUUGGGCUUCUGGUAGCAUUCAUUUACAAUAGCCUAGAAGGAAAAUGCUGUAGAGGGGAUAAUUUUAUCUUUGUAAUUUGUCAUAGUUGUUUAUUGCGAAUUUGAGCUUAGAUGCGUUUAUUGUGUAAAUCUACUAUACUGAAUGGGAAGGAAAAGGAUACUUCAUAUAGGCUCCUUUUAGCUGCAGUAGGUUUGGAAGCAAAUUUGCAGCUUGUAUGUGAAAGGAGUUUAGAAAGGAACGCUUUUUAAUAAUGUAAAUGAUAGUGCUAUAUGAUGAUAUUUGGUUUGAUGCAACUCUAAUCCAGAAUUGAGUGAAACAAAAAUGCAGAUUAGGUUAGAUGUAGAUUUAGAAAUGGUAGUUGUUGCAUGUAAUUCCAGUUCUCUAGGGUUCUCAAGAUCAGCAGUCUAUUGUGACCCUUACAAGGAAAUGUGCAACUAGAAGUACUAUUUGCCAAAUGAUGGGAGUUAGUGGGUGUCGUUUUUAAAUCAUACAAUAACUUGAUAUAGCAUCUGAUUUCUAAUUUAGUUCUGAAAAUUGGACAUGCCAAUAUGCAGCCUUUACCAAGAUGGCAAAUUUGAGAAGGGCUCUUCUUUUCACCAUUCCUCGCAUUCUUAAUUCCUCGAAUCAGACCUCAAUUGCCACCUCCACAAUGUCCUCUCACAAUAUUUACAGGUUAGAGACCUCAUACAAUAUUGUUUUAUCUAUAUCUAUAUGCUUACUUUUUAUUUGAUCAUUUUUGUUUCUGCUCUUUUAGGCCAAUUCUUGGUUCAUUGCCAUGUUUUUAUUCUUCAAAUCAGGCACUGAAUAUUGAUCUUUCCAAUGAAGAAAGCAAGAGGCGGUUGUUUAAUAGGUAUUCUGUUGUGUAUUGAUUAUACCUUUUGUUUAUUUUGUCCUUUUUACCAUUUGAUUUUUCUUUUGUGUAGUCCAGCUUCACUGAUACUCUUUGCUAAAUUUUAGGCUGCUCUACAGGAGCAGACAAAGAGGGUUCCUGGAGCUGGAUUUGAUUCUGGGGAGAUGGGUUGAAGAUCAUAUUCAUUCUAUGGAUGAAAAUGGAAUUAAAGCCCUUGUUCAUGUCCUUGACUUGGUAUCUUCGUUUGUCCUUGACUUUUCUGCUUCUCAACCGUUCAAUCUCACUUUUCCUCAAAUGAUUGGAACUUUACAGGCCCUUCACCAUUUGAUUGAAAUUAAGUUGUAUUAAGCCUCGUCUUCUAGUUUUCAUGUUUGUUAUAAGGUGGCAUUUUGUUGGUCUGGAUAUCUUAUUGGUUUGACUCGUCUGAAAUGUUCAUCCUACCACUGGAUGACUUGGCUGUUUCAUUCUAGGAUAUCGCAAAUGUUGCUCAGCGUAUAUGGUAUGCAUGAUAGCACACGUCAGUUUAGGUUUCCGUCUUAUGAGACACGUAAUGUCUGACCUGGCCCAGGAUUUACAGUUUCUGCCAUUUUAAUUACGUGCUCAUCUUUCUUGAGCUUCUGGUCUCUGACAAACAAAGCACUGAUAAUUGAUUCGUCUGGCUCAAAUUAAUACUAUAUAUAUAUAUAUUUUUUUUUUUUAUGGUUUUGGAUAGCCACUUUGACUUGAUUUAGUUGACUAUGCUCCCCUCUUCAUUGUUGUUUCCAUAUGUAUUGGCAGGAAAAUCCGGACUUAUGGAAGUGGUUGACUGGUCAGGGGCAACCUCCAGAGGCAGUAAGAAUGAAUCCUGUGAGUUAAAACUGAAAGUUGUUUGUUUUGGUUUUAUUCUUUAAUGCCAUUUAUUGCACUCUGACGCCCUAAAACUGUGGUUGCAGGUUUUUGCUGAUGUGCAGAAAAGGGUAGUGAACAAUCUGAACAGCCAUGCUUCUCCAGAGACGAGAGCAACUCCUGGGCAGCCAUGGGUGAGGGGGUGGGAUGAUUUCAAGAAAGGACGUGAUGGCCCAGCGGUGGGGAAUCAGUAACGAUAUUUGAUCCUGAAGGGCCAGCUGUUGCCGUUCUCUGUCAUGCCGGCUGUAGCAUAGAGCGACACUAGAAUAUAUUUACCUAAAAUAAAUCAUGUUAUUAGUACUGUGUUUUUUACUUUGUGAUAAGGCUGUGCAUGAGGGAGACUGUAUUAGAUUUGAAACACACGCUGUAACAAGUACAAAACGUAAUAGCAUUCCAUGACAAGCUAUGCCUUUAUCGUCUUCUACAUGAUGCAGCAAUUUGUAUUGUGGGUGUCAAACAAGUUAGCCACUGGUUCCAUUGAAAAGUUUUACUGACUUUUACACGAGUGACGGGAGAAUUUUCUCAAGUUACCUACCCAACACUGCUGCGAUGCAGAGCCACUUUGGAGCAAGAAAAAAGAGUUUGGACGUCGCGGAAGCGGGCAAGUUGAAACAUCGGUAUGCGUCCAUCCCGACUUUUGUCAGGGAAGCCAUUGAUGCUUAAGCAUAAAUAACUGAUAAUUUACUAAAAUUCCCAUUUCUACUUUUGUAAAAGAAAUCAUUGAUAGCAUAAUUAAGCUCGCAAGGCACUAGGAAUCCCAUGUUUCUUUUGCUGCAUUAAACGAAGAACGCAGAGGAUGCGGGCAAACAGUAGUGUCUGUCAAAAAAUGGACAAACCGAAAUAUAUCUACCGACUGACUGACUACCUUAUGUUAUGCGGCCCACAUAAAAGAACGCAGGCGAAUUAUUUACACAAGACAAAUCUCUCAUUUGUGUGAAAAACCUUAUCAACAUUAAAGCCCCUUUCUCACCUCUUCCUUUUCCUACUCUCCCUGAGGACCGUGACCGUUGCACAUUCCAGUCUACGGAGUCUUUGAAGUUCAGUAGAAAACUGACAUCUGAGAAAGAGAAGGGGGGGAAGAAAAUGCCUAAGCUCUCUCCUAACAAGUUCAUUUUCUACUACUUCUUGACCACUCUUCUCUCUGAAUCCUCCCUCUGCUUUUCCUUGAUUGCCUCAGAAUCUACAGACCCAAUUCCAGUCCCAUGGCCAGAACAAUUCCACUCAAUUCUUUUCGUGAAUAACAGUGAGGGAUCUCUACAAAAGGUUGACCUGUGGUAUGACUGGCCAGGAGGCAGAAACUUCAACAUCAUUCAGUACCAGCUGGGAAAGCUUCUUUAUGAUUUGGAAUGGGACAAUGGCACCUCUUACAUUUACACCUUGGACUCCAACAAAGAAUGCAGAGUAUUGCAUUUCCCAGUGGGAAUUCUAAGACCAAAUUGGCUCGAUGGUGCAACAUAUCUUGGUCAGAAAUACAUGGACGGUUUUCUCUGUAAUGUGUGGGAGAAGGUUGAUUUCAUUUGGUACUAUGAGGAUGUGGCCACCAAAAGACCUGUUUAUUGGGCUUUCUUCACAGGUAAAUGACUUUUGUUAUUCUUCUUAAUUCUGUAUCAAUGAAGCUUGUAAGAUGUGUUAUUAUUAGUCUAGCUUUGCAUAAAAUCUGAAUUGGUGACGGUCAUAUUUCUAACCUUGAAAAACUGUUGCAUUUCUUCCCUUGGGUUCCACCACCCCCCCCAAAAGGGUAAACUCGUGUGGACCUGGUUUUGGGGAGAUUGAUGCUUCAGAUGCUCGUAAUGUGCGCAUGAUCAUUCAUUAUUCUAGGAAUGCACAAGCAUUUAAUGUAGCCGCGUGGAAUUAAUGUAAAUAUUAGCGAAAAUUAGAAAGGUUUAUACACAAGCAUCUGUUGCUCCAGUUUAAAGGUGUCUCAACAUCUUGGACUUUUGCACCCUUUUUGUUUUAUAUAGUUGUUAUAUGUGUGGUGGUCGAAAUUGCUGUAGGAAUGGUAGCACAUGUGAUGACAUUUGAGGUUGGUAGUGUCCUUGAAGACCCCGAGUGGCAAGCUCCUGUAUACUGCUUUACGGAGGCCGUGGAGGAAACAAAACCUGUGCUUGAUACUUUGGGCGGUCCUGUUUCUCGUGCAAGUCUGAUGAAGGGAGGAAAACUUAUGAGUAUGUGAAUUAAUGUCUUUUUAUUGCAAGUAAUUAUCGAUGAAGCUGGAUGAUUUUCAGUCCUUUCUUCUCGGGUAUUUCCGUUUUCCCUUUCUGGUUAUCAAACUAGUAAACAUUUCUUCAUCGCAAGCAAACCAAAGACUUGGAAGUGAAAUGAAACUUAGCAAUUCUGGAAUCAAAUUCCAGGACAGGGAAAGCAAAAAUAAGUAUAGAAAUUGUGUUACCAGUUUUUCUUUAUUAUGUAGUUGCACACUGAGUUGGCCCUCCUGGCAAUAGCAUAGCCCCCUCUGCAGCAUUAGCAUAAAACAUGCAAACCACAUCCUUGCUGAAUCUGCGUUGCAUAAUCCGAUGGAGAAACUUCAUCUCAGUCACCAACCCACGUCCAAGCUGUGGGUCAAAUGGAAGUUUGUUUGCAACUGGAAAGUUUAAAGACUUGAAAGUGGUGUUUAAAUUUUAGAAAUAUGGUACCCUUUUUAUUUUUUGUUUACUUCUUUCACCAAAUUACAAGAAUAGUCAAGAUUCAUGUAACGUGUUAUACAUGUUAAUGGGGGGGCAGAAAAAGUGAUUUCUGAAAAUUUCAAGCUUAUUACAUUACAUUACAUCCGUCAGUGUCUCUGAAUUUACCUGUGUCUAUAAUAUAUUGGUGAAUGUAUUUUCGUAACUGUCGUGUGCAUGUGGUGUGAAUAAGGAGGAAAUUGAUGCCUUGCCAUUGGGAGGUCGUAUUUGAAGACAUAAUAAAUAUUACCCAAGGAAAAAAUUGAACCAUUGGGAGGUCGUAAUAUUACCCAAGUUUAGGUCUAAUAGGCCAAAACUUGAUCUUUGUAAAUCCAAUGAUUCAGGUUGCGCCACACUAUUUGACAAGACGGUGGUGUGGCACAAUUUGAAUCAUUAUUAGGUAUUUGAAGAUCGGGUCUACCCAAUUGUGAGCCGGUCCAAUAAGUAUUUCCAAGUGUUAGCCGGUCCAAAAGUAUUUACGUCCGGAAGCUCCUAACUAAGUACCUUGCAGCCUCCAAUAAUUUUUACGAAAAGCCCCAAAUUUUGAUGGCUCUCUUCCACCAUAGGACCACUACUUAACUAUCUCUUUCAGGUUUGCAUAUAAGACCCGGAAUUUAGUAUUAAUACAUGAUCCUUCCUACUUAAUUUUCACACUAGAAAGCGCUCUUUCUCCAAACAAUUUUAUUCGCUUCUCGGUUCCUCUUCACUUUUAUCUCUGCAGUCGGCUGUUUUUUCUUGAUUGCUAGUUGCUAUCAAAUCCAGAACAAUUUUGGUCGACCCUUUCAACAGAUUCUCAUUUUGCAGUCGGCUGUUUUGAAAACCGGACCGGACCGGACCACAGAAAUUAAGCUGCAAUGCUCAUGUACAUAGAAAUUAAGCACCAGAAAGGAAAGAGAUAAAGACUGAGGAGACCAGAUGAUUGUGGGUGGAAAAAAAAGAAGGGAUAAGUUGAAACAGAUUAUAAACAAGAUUGUAGCUCAAAUCUCUUUAUCAUUAGACAGAGGAUAACAAAAGAUGGGACCCUUAUCUUAUAUUACACAAUGGUAGCCAUACAUACUUCAUCGUGUUAUUAAGGGGGAAAAAAGAAAGAAAAAACCAUAGUUAGAUAAGUGCGAAUGUAUUACGAGAACAAUAGACCACUGCGAAAAACCAAAGGCUAAUGACUAAACUGACUUGCGAAUCACAUCCAGAAACUGCAAAUCAGGUAUCCCUCAUCUACUUGAACAAUCAUCAAAAAUCAGAUUCUCCGUUAAAAGCCAAAAUACAAAAUGUAAAUAGAAUAGGCGACUCCAUAGUUAGUUAAUACAUGUAUGUAUGGAUCUCAAGAUAGCCCGCCAUCAGACAUUGUUUUGAUCCUCCGAGCAGCAGCAUCCCAUCUUCAGUUGCAUUAGACGAAACAACAGCACAGCUUCUACCGCAUGGGGAUUCUUGGGAUCGGCACCCAUGAAUUGUCGAUUAUCAACUAUGGGAACCACAACCUGUCGGAAGCCAUGUUUAGAUGGUGCAGAAGAACUCAUCUUGACUGAGUAUGUUUGCACUUGGCAAUUGGACUGUUAGCAUGAUUAUAGGAGAUUUGUCUAGCAUAUUCAUAACAUGAUUAUAGUAGAUUUGUUUAGCAUAAUUAUAGGAGAUUUACUUAGUAUAAUAGCAAAUAUUUUUAUGUAUAAAUAGAUAUUGUAUUCCCUAUAUACACAAUUUUUCUCAUGAUUCUCUGUCGACCCAAAGAUAUGCUUGGUUCUCUAGCAAUACAGAUUGAUGUGAGAUAGAGUUCUAAGUCGACCCAAAGAAAUUAAUGGGUAAAGAUCGAUCCUAUAAAAUGAUGAAAAUCCCUUUUCCUAUGCCUCAUAUUUUGGCAACUGGUGGGUCAAUCUUUUACUAGGUUCUUUCACAAAAUAGAAAAUCAAGAAGAAAUUAUAUCAAACGUGGAGUCAACGCGUAAAUUAUCUCCCAUUGGUAAUCGUAGAAACGCAAAUGGAUUUAAUCGAAUUUAAGUCUACGCAUGUCAAAUUGUUGGGAUUAGUCAAAUCCAAUCCAAAUUCAUUAUUGUGUUUUUCAUUGGUAUCCAUCUAACAUCUUAAUGCACACCGUAUAAAAUAAUAUGGGUUGAGGUAGGGGGUUGAUUUUGUGUACUUCGGGCCCAUACCCGUAUUGACAUGCACACCUUAAUUGUUAUAAUUAAUUGAUCAACUAGUAUAAUCAUGUCGGGAAAAUCAUUCAAAAUGUCCUUCACAUUUUAUAAAAUGACUUUUUCGUUCCUUACUUUUAAAAGUGUAAUUUUAUGUACUUUACAAAUUCACAUUAGUCAAAUUUGGUCCAUAUCUAGAUUUUCAACUAGUUUUUUGUUAGAAUUCACCACUUACCUUGCAUGUGAUUAUUUUUAGAGGUAAAAUUAUCAAAUUAAAUUUUACAUAAUCCGAUUCAUAGUCCCUCACAUUUCACAAAAUGAAUUUUUUUAUUCCUCAUUGACCAUGUACAUGAAUAUUUUUUUUUAACCUAUGUAUAUAUCUAUUUGAUUUUACCUGAAUAGUACGCAUAACAUAUAAUAUAUUUCUAUUUAAUUUCACCUAAUUAGACUAAUUGUAGUUGUACACAUACUAUUCAAUAGAUAUAUACAUAAGUUUAAAACUAACAAAUUUGUUUUAAACUCAUGUAUAUAUCUAUUUCGUUUUACCAUGCGAACCUAUUCAAUGUUUGUGACUUUGUGGCCUUUUCUCUUGUGGUAAUAAUUCAUUUAUUGAGUUGUACAAUAAGAUCAUCUAAUUAGUGGGUUCUAAUUCGAAUUCUAUAGUCAUGAUAACAAAUUGCAAUUUAAAUCUGAAAUUUCUACUCAACACUUUUAAGACCAACUGUUGAAUUAUUUGUAUUGUAAUUGUUUUAAGAUUUCAAAGUGCCAAUCACUUCCUUUUAUCAUACUUUUCCUUUGUUUAUUUUUCUGUCCAAAUUUAAUUCGAUAUAAAUACUCAAUAAUGUUUAGGAUUAAAUGUCUUCUUUGUUUUCAAUUUUCGAGUAAAAAGAAAUAAACAUGAGUUCAAAACUAACAAUUUUUUUUUAAACUCAUGUAUAUAUCUAUUUGAUUUUACCUGAACAUUACAUUAAGGAGAAAUCAAAUAGAGAUAUAUUACAUGAUAUUCAUAUUAUUUAGAUGAAAUUAAAUAAAUAUAUACAUAGGUUUAAAAAAAACUAUUCGGACACAUGAUCAAUGAGGGAUAAAAAAAUUCAUUUUGUAAAAUAUGAGAAAUAGAAAAAUUCAUUUUGUGAAAUGUGAGGGACGAAAAAAUUCAUUUUGUAAAAUGGGAGGGAUUAUGGAUUGGGUUAUGUAAAAUUUGAUUUGACAUUUUUGCUUUUUAAAAAUGAUCACAUGCAAGGAACGUGAUAGAUUCCGAUAAAAAAAAAUUAGUCGAAAACCUAGGUAAGGAUCAAAUUUAACUAAUGUGAAUUUAUAAGGGACGUAAAAUUAUACUUUUAAAAGUGAAUGAUGAAAAAAGUCAGUUUACAAAAUGUAAAGGAUGUUUUGAACAAUUUUCCAUGUUUUAUUAUGUAAAAUUUAUGAAUAAGGAGUUGAGGCUAAUUUAUUUAUUUAUGUCUCAAGUUCUUUAUACUCUCAAUAACCAUUUCUUUUUCAUCAAUCACUCCAAAUAAUAGUUGCAAAUCAAAAUAUUCAGCCAUAUUGAAAAAUUUCAAAAGUUUUUGCAUCAUCAACAUACCUAGCAAAUUAUAAGGGAAAUAAUUUAUCCGCUCCACUUGUUGUGUUUAUGCACCUCUACUUUUGUUCGUGAUUAUUUGAAUUGGAUAAAAUGCGCUUAUUUUUGGCCUCAUAUUUUGGAAACCCAUGGAGAUGUUUUUAUUAGCUCUUUUAUAUAAUGUUAAACAAAUAGGAAUAUUAGGACGUGAAAAGUGGCCUCAAUAAAUUGGAAUAUUGUCCAUCACUAAUUAUUUGCAAAAGACAUAGUUGGAUAUAUACCCCAUGAGAUUUGUUUAUCAAAAUUUUACUGCACUUGCACUCUCCACUGAUUAAGAAGUAUCAUGUUUGCAACCUGUAAUGUCAUAAAAACUUGUUAUUCUAACUGUUUUAUUCCUAGUCCAAGCAAAAAACCAAAAAAAAAAAAAAAAAUGCAGCCAAAACUUUUUAUAUGAAUGUGGCAAUGCCCAACUCGUUCUUCUUCAUUGGGAGGUUAAUAUUUUUGGCAUCAAAUUUUAAGACGGGAGGAAACGAAAGAUUACUAGAAAAGAGAAAGCAACUAAACUUUUCAACAUUGUUCAGCAAUCAUCGUUGUUGUGUUUUUGAGUCACGAGUGUGUUUUUGACUAUGAAUCAAAGUAUUUUGUGCUCAAUAAUUUCAUGACAAUAAGCUAUACAAAUACAUAUUGUGAAAUUAAGACUACUUAUAGUCAACUUGAAAUUAGAAAGUGAUCCUUUCCGAAUUAGGAGGCGAAACAUGUUCAAUACGCGAAGCAAACAAGAGAACUACUUACACUAGAUGAACCCAAAGUAUAAAAGGAAAAAAAAACCACCAAAGAUCAAUGUAAGAAGCUAACUUGAUUCGUGGUUAAUAAGAAAAUUUUUUUUUUUUUGGGUUUGGGCAUAGUAGAAAAGAAACUUAAUUUGUACCCAAAAAUUAUCCUGGCUAUUUAGUACUUUUCGAAAAUAACAACAUGGAUGAAGGCACAAGGAUUAAGUGGUUUCUUAGAGCAAGUUUGGUACCCCAAAAAAAAAAAAAACCUUUGUAGUUGCAUCCCAACUAGCAUAUACGUUACAUUAAAUAUGAUAAUAAAAUUGUAACCUAGUUGGUUAGACGUUUCACCUGUAAUCGACAAUUCAUAGGUUUGAAUUAUCAAGGGGAAUAAGUGAAAAAUCACUAUUGAUCCAGUUUUAUGUACUGAAAACAAAAAUUACAUUAGAUGAGAUUAGGCAUGUCAAUGGGUACGGUUUGGGUUGGAUUCCUUUGAUCCAGAUCCAAACUCAUUUAAUUUAGUUAGACCCAAACCCAGGUCCAGACUCUUUUGGGUCUGAAAAAGUAAGCCCAUAUCCAAACCCUUAUGGAUCUGGGUAUCCAAUGGGUAUCCAUGGGUAUUUUCUGAACAUACUAAAGUAAAAAUGUAAUUAAAAUAUAUAGAGUUCAUAAAUAAUAUAAAUACCAUCUAAUUUUUGUUUUCAAGUAAUAAAAUUAACAUUCAACAAGUUGAAUGCAAUAUUGUGAAAUCAAAGAAAGAAUUACUAUUGACUACUUCUAUGUAUUUUUAAAGAUUCAACUGCAUCCACAUCCAAUAUUUUAUUUGUUUGCCUUUAUCUUUUCUCCUUUUCUUGAAAAAGUUUGUACCAAUUACAAUGACAACUAAGAUUAAUUUUUAAAAAAGAAAACAACCAUAACAUAAAUAAAUAUUUAGUUUUAUUAAAGAAAUGUAAUUUUGUAUCUCUUUUCUUAUUUAAACCUUAAUGUUGGUAAAUGUCUCGCAAUCCAGUACUAAAAUAGUGAAUGAGAUAAAAGUCAUUUAACUAAGGACCGAUAGCAAAUGAAUAAUAGAAUAGGAAAAUUUAUAAACACCUACUCAUUUUUUUUAUUCAAUUCAAUCAUUAGUAAUCACUAAUGUUUCAACCAUAUCUAGAAAUAAUUUGGCACGAGUUUCAUCAAUCAUCUAACUAUCAACACUAAAUGCAGAUUCUGAUGCCAUAAAAUCUUACUAUAUUCGAUCUAAUAGCCAUAAAAUAUUAUAUUAUUUUAUAAAUUUACUAAUAUAUAUUAUUUAAUUAAAUAUAUAUGAGUCUGGGUAAGAUCUGGUAUGGAUCUAAAUUUGGAUAUGAAUUGUAGAAAACUAGACCCUACCCAGACCCACGACUCUCUCACAGGGUCUAGGUUUGUGUAGAGUCUGGAUUUGAGAAAUUAAAUUCAAACUCCACCCAAAUAUAUUGGGUCUGGGUAGGGUCUACCCAUUAACAUGCCUAGAUGAGAUUAUGAUUCAUUGGAGAAAAUAACUCGGUUAGUUGAUCAGUGUAUGACGUCACAUUCUUCGGAAUUCUUUAUCUAGGGAACAUGAAAGAGCUUGCUCUUUCCUUUUGUUAUCACUUAGUCUAAGCGGCACUUUAGCUUCACUUAUUCAGCUAUGGUAGGAUUUUAGAUACAAAACAGGCUUCAUUGUUUUAUUGCUUCCCAGAUUGAUAAAAUGCCUCCAAAAAAAAGCCAUUUUCUAUUCCAAUGCAGGUCAAAGCAACCUCAGAGUGCAACUUUCUUGCAAAGAAAGAUUAGAAAAUUGGCAAAGAAAAUUUGAAGAAGUUUAUUUUAUAUAAUGUAUUAAAAAUAUGGAUUUAGAAUGGAGGGGUGUGAAUUUAUCCCCUUCCAACUUAUUCAUUUUAUAUAAUGUAGAAAAAAUAGGAAAUUUUAGGACAUGAAAAGUGGAGUCAAUAUAUAAAUUAUUUUCCGUCGCCAACAUAUAACACAGACGAUUGUGUUAAGUAAACGAGAUCCUCUGUUCAUUAUAUUUGUUCAUUUUCUUGUUUAAUGUAAAACUACGUAGUUCCACUUAGUAAUACUGCUGACUUGGCACGUAACAUUGAAUGCAUAUAUUCAGAGAUGUUUGGUAAAUGGUUUCAAAUUAAAAGCAAUCAGCAACCACAAGGAAAGUACAAUCAAUGCUAGCAAAACGAGGCGCGCCAUUAUCUUUACCGUAAGAGGGCAGCCAGGGUCAGGGUUAUGGUCAUGCACCACCUGGUUGUCGUUGCCACGAGGUGGGCGCUGCACGACGGUCCUAGCUAUCGGAAAAUUUACCGGUCGAACGUCCACGGCCAGGUAAUAUAUGCGCUGAUUAUCCCGCGGCUGUGGGUGUCCAACUUCUGCAUCGCCGGAGCUCAUUCUCCGAGUAUGAGAAAAGAAAAAAAUAAUAACAACAACAAUAAAAAGUGCAGGAUCUGUAGGAAAUAAACCCAGCAAAAAAGCAAUGAAGUAAAACAGACAAAGGAAGAAUUCUUCGUGGCAGGGACCUUCACAGUCUUAAACCAAACUAGCUAUUUAUAGUUCUAUUUGUUAGCAUGUCAUAAUUAAGUUGGUGUUAGUUACUUUCCCAUUGGAUUUACUUUAGUAGUUGUAGGGGGCAGCAGGAUCCACAGGGUAGCCAUAGAUGACAGAAGGGACAAGACGGAAGAAACUGCUGCUGAUUGAUUCUGAAUGCGUUGUUUGGAUCUAUGCUGCGCAUAAUGAUGAUGACCACGCUUUCUUUUUCUUUAUUUUUAACCAAAGAGUUGGACCAAAAAAGUGCGAUAAAUGCUCAACAGCAAUGUGUUAAAGAUAAGAAAAGAGCUCGAUUGAUUGAUAGAGGGCUUGUUUUCGAUUGAUUAUUUUAGUUAAUAGUAAAUUUUGAUUGAUAGAAGGCUUUAUUACGUAAGCUAAUUAUAAAUUUUGAUUUUUAAUAAUCGAAUUUUGCAAAAUCUAAAAUUAUGAUUUGAGAUUUCAAAAUUAAAAAAUAUAGUACGUGACUUAAUUAGGCCAAGGCUUGAUUAUGUUAGCUAAUUAUAAGUUUUAAUUUUGAAUAAUCAAAUUUUGCAAAAUCUAAAAUUAUGCAAGGAGAUUUUGAUUAUAUGAGCUAAUUAUAAAUUUUGAUUUUGAUAAAUCAGAUGUUGCAAAAUCCAAAAUUAUGAUUGGAGAUUUCAAUUUUGAAAAUACAGUGCCAAUAGUUUGCUUAUUCAAGUUAUUGUCCAGAUAUAACAUAAAUUUUUUUUUUUUGAUUAAACUUCUAAACAACCAUUAUCCUAUGAUUGGAAAAAAAUUUAAAGUAUUACUAAUGUAUAAGUAUAUAAGUAAAGAAAAAAGACCACCCCCUAUUUGUUCUCUUAUUUUUCUCUCUAUCGUUUAUUGCAUAUAUCUCAUAACUCUAUUUAAUAAAAAUUUUAAAAAAAAGUUUAGCAUAAAAAAUUGAAUAUGUUCAUGUACAUAACAUUAUUAGUACUCUGAACAAGAACAUUACGAGCACUAUAAAUAAAAAUAAAAAAAAUAUUUUUUUUUGAAUCAGGUGCAGUUGGUAAGGUGAUGCCCAUAAUCAACUACAAGAAGCAAACGACCAAGCAUUGGUCACUAAAGUUACGAGCAUGAAAUUUAAAAAAGAAACUACUCACACUUCUUCAUCCCUCCUAACAUUAUGCCUUGGGUACCAUUAGAGGGAAACCAAACUUCCACCUCGGCACAGUUGAGACUGAUCUUCCUCCAACCUUUUCCAGGCCAAAACGACCGUUCGAAGUUGGAUUUAACAUAUCUAUAGCGACCCUCCAAAUAGACGUCGAAAUAUGAGACUUGACUGCGUAUGUCCUCGGGCGCAAUUGCAGUCGUCAGAGGCUGCCAACAAGCCUUCGGCCCUGCCAAUAGAUGUUUCUGAUAUCCUGGAUCUUUCCCAGAAGCCAUAAGGUCCGCAGCUUUAGCGUCGCAAAGAUACUGCUUAUUGUCGCCAUAUUUCUUAUUGUCAUAAAAUAGCGACACCUCAAAUCCGCCGAGGAUGUAUGAACUAUCGUUGGCUAACAGUCCAAUGCUCCAAUUUGCUGCUAUUAUUCCAGAUUGGGUUACAUUGAAAGGAGAAACCAGCAUUGAGCUGACGUAGAAUUCUGGGCCGUUUGUAAAUAAUAAAUUUGUUCCACUCAACAACCAAAGGAAAAACAAGAAACAAAUACCCGCUGAAACAAGCUUUACUAGACAGCCACAGCAGCAGUUGCCAUUGUUAGGACCUCCGCUAUUGUAGGCCGCGGCACCAGCCACGGGGUUAGGAGUUCGGUUAUUAUAGGCGGCGGCACCAUCCACAGGGAUGCCAUAGACGACAGAAGAAGGUGGCUGCUGAGUAAUUCUGAAUGCGUUUUGUGUACUUGUGCUGCCCAUUGUGAUGGUGGUGGUGGUGGUGGUGGCGGCAACAAGAAAAUAGCUAGAUAUUAGAGAGAGUUGAACUAUAAGUACGACAAUAAAAUAGCUAGAUAGAGCAUUAUUAUUAUAAGGGUAGAUUUCGAUUAAUAGAAUUUCAGAAUAACCCGAAUCCUAGUUUGACAAGAAAAUCCAAUUACAGCUAAAGUAGUUCUAGUAGUGGACUAGGAAAAGGUUACCUGGCCAGGCCAAAUUCCAAUUGCACAAUGAAUAUUAUUAAAAAUCCCUCAAGCUCGGGGCGUGCCUAAAUUCUAAUCCACUUAAGAUUUUUUUUUUUUUUUUGGCAAGAAAAAAUUUAUGUGAGUUCAACUCUGAUUAUCACUAAGGAUCAGAGCAUGUCCUAAAAUCAUAAAUCGUUUACAACGUUCUUAUAAAACAUCCACUAAUACAACUCUCGCAUCCACUUAAAGUAAUGAAACUGGUUGGAAGUAUUGUUUUAGCAGCACUAAUUUGAAAUAUUCAAUGUUUUCGCGUGGUUACCAGUUUCAACCGUCCUAAUUAGAUAUAUAUAUAUAUAUAUAUAUAUAUAUAUAUAUUUUUUGGUUACGAUAGCACAUACAAUGCGAACUCUUAGUGUAUACAAUAUAUUAAAACUUGUAUGUUGACGUUUAAUUGGUGAAUAAAAAAUAUAAAGUGUUUUUUUGCAUUGAAUGAAUGUGCAUAUUCAAUAUAUUUGACUUAUGUACAAAUAUAUAACAAGCUACGGGGAAUAAGGUUUUCAUCACUAAUCUAGAUAUUAAUAACAAUUUGCGUACCUCAGUGUUAAUAUUUUAUGGUAUGCAUUGCUUCAUUUUUCCUACCAUUCUGCCUUGCGUGCCAUUAGAUGGAAACCAGACCUCCACAUUUUUGCAAUGGACGUUGCUCUUCUUCCAAUUUUUGCCUGGCCAAAUCCAACUCAUAUGCUUGUCCAUGGCAUGCCUAUAGCGAACCCAUAUUCUGAUUUCGAAAUAGGCCACUCCACCAUUGAUAUUCUCUGCAGCCGCACCUGUGAGAACCUGCGCGCACGCCUUUGGUCCUAUGAUGAUCACACUCGUUUGUUCCCUUGAUCCUUGCUCAAAUGCGGGAUACGUAGUCUCACAGAGAUACUGCCCAUUGUCUAGAUAUACCAGUACGUCAAAACCAUCAUAGAUAGUAGAACUCAGGUAAUUGGUAUUUGUGACCAGUAAUCCAAUGGUCCAAUUUGUUGACGUCUGAGAAUUGGAUAUUUUGAAAGGAGAAACUAACAUGGAGCUGGUCUUGAAUUCAGGAUUCCCUUCGAACACUAAAACGAUUACGAGAACCAACCAAACGAAAAAGAACGCCAGCAUACAUAGUAUACAUACGUCGUCGUCUAAACGAUGGACACGAACCUCCGGGUGAUUUAAUCUGUUGCAGGGCUGCUGCUGGUUUAUUCUGCUGUUGUGCUCUGCAAAUGAACUACUCAUGAUGAUGAUGAUGAUCUCUCCUGCGUUAUAUCCACUACUUGGGAACCUAAAAGUUCUGACUUAGAGGUUAACCAUUAUACGUUGCGUUGAUAGGAGAUAGAUUCUAAAAGCAACGGGAGAUCAGAUUCAUGGAGUUUGAAAAAGAUUUCAUGGAAUUUGAAGAUAACUGAAUUUUCUAUUUUCCAACACUAAUACCGAGAUUAAUGUGAAUUAGCUCAACUGAAAUUCCUGGAGCGUCCAUUCUAACGAAAGACGUAAGAUUAGACGCCAUUCAAGCAAACCAGAAAACAGGCCCUUUUACAGAAACAGUUAGAUGAGGCAGGACCGUGAUCCAUAUUUUCUAUUGACUAACUCCCUCGGGCCCCUGAAAGGUGGUUGCCCAGAAACCGGUUCUCUUGCCUCACGUGAAAAAGCAGCAUAAACCAGGAAUUCUGGCUUAUCCAGCAAGUACUGAAACCUCAUCGAUGCAUUCCUAGCUUGUUUUCCUAAUCGAAAUGCUUUCUUUCACAAAAUUGAGACUUUGAGACUCAAUGCCUAUACUUCGUAGUGCGAUUGACUACUUCAUCAAAUUGGCAUUCCUCAUCGUACAAUCAUGAUGACCACAAUAUACAUGACCCAAGGGAAAAUUUUCAAAAGAGAAACUCUUAAUAUAUUGGAUGUGAAGUUGUAUUUACAUUUUCCGCUUCUGUAGAGCAAGUGAUCAUUCUUGAAGGACAAAUGAACCUUGUAUCCUCUUUUCUAAAGGUUGAGGAGGAAAAUUCAAGGGAGAGAACAUGUCAUCAAAACUUGAAGCAGGAGCUGGCUUGAACUCGUAAGGACCUCCUUUUGCACCCCACACCUGUAAAUCAGUUAAAAGAAUUGGGCAAAGGAAAUUUGUUAAGAGAAGCUUCCAACAUCAUUUUCAAGGAAUCACAUUUGGGGACAAUAUUUCAAGAAGCAAAGAAAACUAACUUGAUUUCCUUCUUCAUCAUAGCCUCUAUCCCAAAUGUGUACCUCGUUGUUCUUUAACACAGAGAGUUCUGAUGUACAGUAUGCCGCACCAUUCUGCUAAGAUUCAAUGAGUUUUAAAAAUUAUAAAGAAAUAUAGGAGGAGGAGACGAACACAUGAUACACAUAACAUGCAGAUUGUAGAAAAUUAUGUUUGAGAAAAAUUAUGGGGAUUCAUACCCAUGUAUUAGGGAAUCCAUCUGGUUGAGUUGAACCUUCAUACAAGCAGCGUUUUCCACGGUCGCAACGUUUGAGGUGAAUAGUUGUCAAAUGCUCAGCAAUGUCCUUCAUACAAAAUCAAAGUUAAAAGCCACAAUUAAAUAAAGAAGGCCUCAAAUCAGAGAGCAAGAGAGAGAUCGAGCUGGAGAAGAUAUAAAUCCUUGACCAGUCAGAUUGAAAUGGCAGCGUCAUACAAUAACAAAGUGACGUCUUUUUCAGGAAAAGAGAUCCUCAAAUAUCCAUUUGAAUGAAAAAAUUAGAUAAAAGUGAAGUUAAGCCCAAUGACAUUCUGGGGUUUGUUAACCUGUUUUUUAUGCUGUUUAUAGAAUAUAGACAUUUUCUUCAUUUAUUUCGAGAUUUCACUCUAAGGCCUUUGUAGCCAAUCAGAAGCUGAGAUAAUCUAUAAUUCAUAAACCUGGCAAAAAUCUGCUUAAAAGCAUACCCCAAUAACUUCUUCAGGUUCUGGCCGCUGGUCCUUCGGGCGAUCACAAAAAUUCUUAUACUCUUCGGCAUCUCUGAUGGCAUGUGUACUUACCUGCAAUUAGUAUGAAAGAGACGUGGCAAAAUCUUUAGCAUUGAUAGAUCUAAGUUCUUUAUAAACUCAAUAAAAUAGGAAAACUAUUAGCUAGUAAAGUAGCACCGAAAAUCCCAAGCUUGGAAUCCUAGCUGCUAUUUAGCUUCCUCUUUCAAACCCCCCUCCCUGCACCCAUUCAGUGUCUCUCUUUCCAAGGGGGGCAAAAGACAGAAACUAACAAGAAAUCAUGAAAAAAUGUGGACAGCCAGCUAAACUGCUAAAGCUUCUGAAUAUUGAUACAUUGGAUGUCUCUUCCCUAUACGACAGUUGAAACCUUUUGUCAUCUUACCUGUAAGUCAUUUUUUAUAAAAUAAUCUGCAUAGCUACAUCCCCAAUCGUCUCCAACCACAAAAAAACUAUGGCAUUUGUGUUUAACCCAACAAAUGUAAUCAAUUGAAGACAAGAGUUAGACACUUAAACAAAUAGCUAUGCACACAAAAACUGUUCACUUAGCUUACAUGGUACAAGUUCAACAAGUGAACCAUUAUACUCUUUAAGGCUUAAUGUGGCAACAACAAAGGUACCAAGAAUAAAUAUUAAAAACAAACUUUAAGAGUACCUCAACAUCACAUUUCAUCUCCUUUGGGCAAGGCUUUACCAUGUAGAAUCUCUGGAAAUGGCCACAUAUAAUUCAGUGAACAGUUAAUGUCAAUAAGAAAAUUAAACCGCUAUAGCUAAAACCAAGAAGAAAGGAGCAAGAAAACUGGGGAAGCAUUUCUUUGGCGGCAACAAAAAUUCCCAGAAGCAUUCAAAUUGAUAAACUGCUCGGAUAUCAAAGACAUAAAGCCACCAGAAUUUCUUGAAAUGAGCAACUGGGCUUGUCUACUAUAAGCAAAAUGCAGAAAUAAGUUUUACAAACAAUAAAUACACGCUUUAUCAACCUGGCGAUAUGGUUUAUGAGGAGUUCUCCAGAAUGCCUGCCACAACAAAUAGAAUCUCAUUAUAUAAUUGGAAUUGACACGUUCAAUAUCGUGAAAAAUCAAGAGCAUCAACUGAAACAGCUCCAGUCACAAUUCCAAAUACUAACCUGUUCAAAAUACAAAACUUUCGAACCAUCAACCAUUUCGGCAGCUGGGCAUGAUAGCCAUCUAAAAUACUCAUUCUAGUUAGAAAUAAGAAAUUUGAUAAUUCACAUUCAGAAUUGCCAGUAAAGUUCAGUUCUUUCUUUCAUUCUUUUCUUUUACUCAAAUAUAUAAGGUGUAUUAAUUGGAAAAAAGGAAAAAAAAUGCAAUUACAGAUUUUUCCAAAUAUCAUUUUACCAAAUAAUUUCAACGACUAACAAUUGCAAAACCCAAAAUGUCGAAAAAUGAAUAAACGAAAGGAUUUGUACCUCAAAUUAAAGUAAUUAUCAGGAUCUCUAGACGCUUGCUCCCUCGAAAACUAAAAAAGAUUAAAACUUUAAUAGAAAAAUAAAUUCAAAUUUUCCAAAAUUGAAAGAGAAAAUUGAGAAUUUAGAGCUUAAGAAUUUGAGAUUACCUUUUCACCGGCGAGGGAUUGAGCUACGAUGCGAGCGUGGUCCCAGCGAGUAGUGGACUUGGUGAGGCGUUUGAGCAACAGGGCACCUCCGAUUAACACAAGGGACUUAAGCACCACUCCCCGCGCCUUGCCCCAACCGUUUGAGCUCGAGUUCGGGUUGAAGUCAUGCUCCGACGACUUCGACUCCGACCCCGAACCCGAACCCGUGCUCAUCACUGAUAUAUACUAUUAGUAAUUACUUGCUCUGUUACUCAGUAAGUUACAGUGAAAACUCAACCAAUCGAUUCAUCCAUAUCUCCAAUUUGUUAAAUCUAUAGUCAGUUCGAAGUUCAAUUUUUUCGGGGAAAUCUCAGGGGGACAGAAAUUAUGCUCCGGCAAAAGUGUCGGACGCCGGCGAGGAGGCAGUGGCUAGUUGGUCACUGGCAGUAAUACUAGCAGUAUUAGAUUAAAUUACCUACCCCCACUAGUUAUCAGUAUUCAGUAACAUAUUCAAUUGAGACGAUUUGACAAAACUAACCCUUUCCCUUUUGGUUUUUUGGGGUUUUGGGGAAUCAGCUAGUGCAGGCAAAAAGGUUCCAAAAAAAAUUUUUUUUUUUUGUUGAAACGUCUAAUUUAAGUAUUUACGUAUGGCCUUAUUCUAGUAAGAUACCGCUUGAGUUUGAUAAUUUAAUUUAAUAUUUAAAUUUAAUAAAAAUUUAAUAUGUUUAGAUUCCACUUGAAUUUAAUAAUUUAAUUCAAUAUUUAAAUUUAAUAAAAAUUUUAACAUGUUCAGACUCCGGUCUAAUUUAGCACUUGUAACAUGUUCAGACACGUUUGGAGUGUGUUUGGAUCGUAUUUUUCAUGGAAAAAUUACUGUAACGAUUUGACGUAUGUGAAUGAAAAAGGUAAUAGGAAAAUGUGAUUACGAAAAACGACGUAAUUUUUCGACGGAAAACAGCAAUCCAAACAAGGUCCUUGAUAACCAAUUGAAUUUUCUAAGCAAAAAUUGCUCCAAAAGUGAUACGCUAUUCACUCAUCAUUGAUACGUGCUCAAACGUAACAGAUUUAGAAUGUGUUCGAUAAAGCUAAAAUCUGAAACUCUCAAAUCUAAGUAAUUCGCGCAAUGUUACUGAUUGAUUGGCGUUGAUGUAAUCUUUGAUUUCCAAUGUGAUUCCUAUUCAUUGCCAUGAAUUGAACGGGCAGUGAACGAUCACGCACACGAUUACAAUUAAAUCAUCAUUGCCAUUAAAAGCAAGAGAAAAUAACAUAUUGGCAGUAAAGUAGAGGCAAAAUUUUCGUUGCUGGAUUAAGCACAAAAAGGUUGAAGAGUACAACCAAGUAGUCCUCUCAUUCUUGGAUUCUUUUUUAUCUCAAUGGAUUUAACCAAUAAACUACCAUAUUGAAUGAUGAAAUGAAAAGUAAUAACUGGUCCAGUCUCAAGAAGUUUGAGCACAACUUUUGUGUUGCUGUGUUUUGAGCCUAAAAGGUGUUAUUUAAGUAGAGAUAUAAACCACCCAAUGCUGCAAUUCCAACCGCAAUUCCAAUGGGCAAUGCUCUCCUGCAACAGCCACAAAAAACAUGUGUAAGGCUGUAAGCAUAUACAUCUUGCUCCCGAGUCCCGCCCUCCCCACCAAAACCAAAAAAAAGCCAAGAAGGAAAUCAAGAAAUUAGCAUGAAAUCAGUUAAUGCUAAAGAUUUUACAAUUCCACCAAGCUUCAAGGAGGAAAAUCCAUAGCCCAAUGGCUUACCCUAUUGCUUCGUCUCUUUGAAUCUGUGCUUUUCUGGCUUUCCUAACAUCCGACUCAUUAGCAUUUUUGGCCACCUUGGGCACAUAUGGCUUGAAUCUUCGUUUUGGAGCACCACAAACUGCAAGAUUCAGUCUCAAUAGUCAAUGGUCGUGUUGCCAAUAGAGGACUGGACAAAACAUUUCUACAACAUUCCAAAAAGCCCACAAAUUUUUAAACUCCAAUUUGAAAUCAUAAGUACGUAAAAGAUGCAAGUAAAAAGUUGCACAAGCAAUUUGUGCACAUUCUAAGUUCUACUGACAGUAUGCUGACGAAAAUUGUUCCAACUACCACCCUCAUUAGCAUCUAACACAGAAAGAAAAAUCCUUGAUAAGGAUCACGUUAAAUUCUAAGGGAACAAAGAAAUUAACAUGAAUAAAAUGAGUACCGAACGAUUUUUCAGAGCUUUAGGAAAAGGACAAUUAUCUGAUAAUGCAGGAUAAAAGGGAUGUGGUAGCUUGAGAUGAAGAAAAAUGUACCAGGGCAGAAGAAAUUGUCCGGUAAUUUCUCAAAGGGCGUUCUGUCACUGUAGAUAUACCUGCAUAUGUCGUACAAAUCGCAUUUACAAUCUAGUAACAGAACAACUCAGUAAAGCAGAGAAAGAACAAAAUUGUCAGCAGGCAAAUAAAAUUACCCGCAAUCGCGGCAAAUAUAGGCUUGCUUGGAGGCAACCCGCAUGGAGAAUUUUGGAGCAGUUGCAGGAGCGCCGGACCCUUGAUGAGGAGGAAGCAGGAGGUGAAGAGAAGGGGCGAGGAAGGACGAUUUGAGAGCAAAAGCAUCGGCGGGUCGCCGGAGGCCAGCAUUGCCCGUCGGGGCUAGAGAAGAAGGCGAGGGUAUGGUCUUGGCGGGUAGCUGCAGGGCCAUUUCCACUGCUCUUUAGCUUCCUUCCCAAUUCUGGCGAGAGUCGAGUCUUUGCCCAGCAGUUGUGGAAGCAAAGAGGAAGAGAUGAGGCGAUAAUGUAAAAUUUUGUGUAAUGUAGCAAUUGGUUGUCAAUAUUAGAGUAGACUGCGUAAUGGGUGAAGUGUGGCUGUCAUGCUCCCCACACAAGUUCUCCUUUUCACCUUUGCAUCUUUCUUAUCUUCUCCAACGUUCCAACACCCAAGCCCAUAGCCCGUAGCCCGUAACAAAGCAAUAAUAAUAAUAAUAAUAAUAAUAAUAAUAAUAUGUAUCCAAGAAUUUUUUUUUAAUAAUAUGUAUCCAAUAAUAUUUUUUAAUUCAUUUUUUUUUUAUAUUUUUAUCUCACAUAAAUCAUACAGUAUCACAAAAAAUUGAUAGUAUAAUAAUUAUUUCAAAUAAUACUCUAUUAUUCAAGAUAAAUCUCAUCCUGAAAUUAUAUAUUUUAAACUUGUAAUUGGCAGUCAACCAACCCUUGCUAGAGAAAUAUGUAUAGUAUAAAAUUGGAGAUUCAAGACUCCUGAAAAUUUGUGGUGUUCAAAUCGGUUUCUUAAACCAUUUAUUUUGGACUUUUAAAUGCUAAUCCCUUGUUCUCCCUAUUCAUUCGUGCACCAUUUUCUUGGCAUUACAUGAUUACAAUUUGCUGACUUGAGUUGCUUAUAAUCGAAGAUAAAGGGAAAAAUUAUCCCAAACUUGACAGUCUCGAUUUGGUUUUGACUGUACAAGAGUAUCCCAAUUUUAGUUUUACUAGUUGAUUACACAGUGUAUAAAAUAUUUUGCUAGUGGAUCAGCAAUUUCCUUUUGACAACAAGUCGAUUAAGUCCACCGCCUCAGAUUCUUGAAUCUCCAUUUGUGGAUAAAAAAUUUUUAGUGCCCAAAAAUAAAAGGCGACUUGUCUUAUUUUUAUUUGUUACGAGCCAUUUGCAAAAAGUUGAUUAGUCGUCUAAAUUCAGCACGUCAUUUGAGUAUACUGCAAAAUUUACUUAACAAUUUUCUGUGCAGAAGUAGAAAUUAAUCAAGGAUGACAUUUCAUAUACUUCAGGAUGCAUUGGACGGACAUUGAGGCUAGCGGAGAGUAUACACUUAGCCUAACAUGCUCGCAAGAAGAUUUCAUGCAAAGGGUCAUUGGAAAUCAAGUCCCUAGCUGCCAUCUCAAUCUCUAAUGUUUUCCAAAAUGGUUUAUUGAAGUGACAUGGACGAAUCAAAAAACUACUGGGGGCCCUUCCUUUUUGGGAGAAAGAAAAUGGUGCGCUGUAGUGAAUCACUGAAUUGAUGAUCAGUUAAAAAAAAAAAAAUCAAGAAUAAACACAUCUGUACUUGAUUCCCUAUUAAUUUGGGAGUUGUUUGUGGUCUGCAACAUCCAAAUUUGUCAAAUUCCGGCAUGCGCUGCUCAGAAACAAAUGCAACCUCUCGUGCAUUUGCAAGAUCAAAAUCUACGAUGCAGUAUGACAACAGCAGGUGAGUACAGCUGCAAGGGUGCUAACAACGUUGGAGGAAAUGCCACGCUAAUUUCCAGUAUCAGUGUCAAACCAUCUACCAAGGUUUCAGGUCACCCACAGGGCCUGCUGUCCAGUUUAAGAUUUUCUCGCCGGGUUUCAAGAAAGUGCUCCUGUCAUGUGGCAGCUUCCGAGCAAGUCCGUUUAAGAUCUGGUGGAAAGCAUCACGCGAUUGAGCCGGUUGGGGAAAUAACAUAGCCUGCUUCAUUGAAGGGUUUGCAAGCAAUCUCUGCUUCCUCAGUAUCACUUCUGUUGGGAUUGAAGUGAGUAUUGUAUCCAACUUUGGGACGUCCUUCUCUGCUACAAAGACCCCAAUUUCUUCCCAUGGUAUUGCAUCAGCAAAUGGCAACACAAUAUCAUCUGCUAUGAUCACUGGGAUACAACCAAAUAUUACAGCCUCAACCAAUCUAGGACUCCAUGGGGCCCAUCCCAACGGGCACAAACAAAAAAUAGCUCGCUGCAUGUCCUCAUAGUAGGUUGUUGGAUGCUCGGUCGAAAUGUCAAAGAGAGGGUUGUCCUUGAAGUUCUCCCACACAGAUGCUCGAGCGCCUCUGCCAAAAAGAAAAGGUAGAUUUAGCCAUCUCAGUCUAUAUUGUCAGUGUCUCACAUGAAACUUAAGAAAACUUGAAAAGCUAUGAGCGAAGAUUUUCACAUUCUAGGUAUGUCUUGGCCCAAAUUGACGAUUUUUAUUCACUCUUUGCAUUUGCCUAUUUUAACUCCCCUGCUAAACUUUACAGAUAAACGAUUAUUAAGUUAUUCUGUAGUUAUUAUCUCCCUUUUUAUGGGGGCCUUUUUUUUUUUGAGGCGGAGGGGAGGACAUGGGUGAAGUUUUCAGGAGUUUGACACCAGUCAAACUACACAAUUAUUCAGUUAAAACCACACUGAUUUUGGCUUUGCUGGAAGCUUAAUACUAUGAAAACCUGAUGCAGCACUUGACUUUGAAACAAUCGUACAAGCAAACACUAACAUGCACAAUAGCGAGAGGUACCUUGCAUAGUAGCCACCUUCUGGAUCAUUCCCCACAUCAUAGAACAACCCUCGGAAGUAAACAAAUAUUGAUCGAGGAGUGUUAGGAGGGAUCAAGUGGGCUUGCAUCUUCUGUGGAGGAGCAUAUGGAGGAAUGGUGAUUGAACCAUCCUUUAAGCAAACAUGAUUUCGUUGCCCAAAAGUUUGGACCAACGUAGCACGCUGAAGCAAUGGGAGAAUCCCUCUUUCAAUGGCUUUUUCUUCCUGCCAUGGUCAUAAAUAAUGGUCAACAUCAGAUGAAAACAGAGAUCAUAUAAUAUCUUCUCCCCCCUUCGCAACCAGUCAUUUCUCAUGUAAUUGAAAAAAUAUCAUAAUUAUAUCAAAUCCCCCUAGAAAUUACACAAUCCAGAUAACUUUCAGUAGAAUCUGCUGUCAGUAUUAUUUGGAGAUUCAUAAAUCUUUUAGCAGAGAUUCCAUCCACUGUUUCUUUUUUCCUCCUAAAGAGGAACAAAAGUUGGGAACGUGGGGGAGGCAAAAAAAGGAGAGACAUCUUACUUGAUAGUGGAAACAAGCACCAAAAUCAUGGGGCACAAUAAAGAAGUGAUCAGCACCUUCAGUUCUAUUCCAGUAAGGCCAGUUAGAAGAAAUAAGCUGUAUUGCACUCCUCAUCAUACGUGGUGAUUUAAAGGGUAAGGGGAGGCCAUUAGGAGUCAGGUCACAGGUUGUGUAGACAGGGGUAUAAAACCAAUCAGCUUCCUCAGGAUUGAGGGUUCGAACAGGGCUUGAUAAAAGAAAACGAUGCAUAUAUAUUUCAGCAGCAAACAUAUGAGUGAGGCAUCGGGGAUCCUUCUGCAGGAUCUUCUUGUUGUAUUUGCUGGGAAGCUCAUAGACAAAAACUUUUAACCUUCCAACUGGGUCAUCUUCCAAGACAUCACCAGCACUACCUAAAUUUUCAAAAUAAAAGUAUGAUAAAGUAAACACAGCAGUCAUAUUGCAACAAAGAUAGAAACAUGACCACGAAUGUAGUAUGUAGUUUCAGCUCCUGACCCUCCAGUAGAUACUUAAAACAUGUACAAAACGACAAAAAUCAACUGACAAAACCCUGGGAUCGUUGAGAUACUCAGAUUUGGAAAAAAAAUUUCCCAAAUUUUAUUUUGCUUGCAUCAUAAACUCAAUUUUCGAUCACAUUUUGAUAAUCCCAAUCACCUUUUUAUCUCACACACAUCACAUCACAAAAACUACUAUGCUGUUAGGCUAAAUAAUUUUUACAAAUAAUCUCCUACAAACACACCCACUGUGUUUUGCAGCACAUCAUCCAAGAUUUCCUACGACAUUUCUCUACAGGUGAAACAUGUGAUAUUUGAAAAGAGCUGGUUUUUUUACCACCUACUAGAUUUCAGCAUAUAUACCUUACAUCACAAGUUCAGUCUCAAUAACACCAACGCUAUGUGCCAGGGAGGAUGACUGUUUUAAGAAACAAGCCUCUCCCUUCUGCCAAAGGGUAGCGCUUAAUAAAAGUGGUCGUUAACUAUCUGCAGGUCAACUAAAAUAAGUGGAAUCUUAGCGUGUCAAUCUAUAACAAAACCACCAAACACCAAUAAUAGCUUGUUGAUCAAUUUUUACCAUUCAAUAUAAACCAGUACCAGGAGCAUCCAAUAUGAAGCAUUAGCUAGGUCAAAAUGAACAAUCACAUGACAACAUUGUUCAGCCCCAGAAAGACCAUCCAUAUUACAGAAAUUAGUUCACUAGAUUUACUAAUUUCAGUGUUUACCCUUAAUCCUUAGCAGCAUAACCAAAAAGUACCUCUAAAACAUAGCCAACGCAAACCAAAAUCAUGGAUUAUUGGCUUCAAUAAUUACAUAGAUCCGUAUUUUUGAGUUAAACCCCAACAACGUUGUCAAACAGAGGUCAGCAGCCAUCAAGGAAACAUGCUUGAGUAGAAUGAAAUCACAUACAUACCAACCCAUUACACUACCAUCCUGCCCACUAUUAAAUCUAUCCAACGUUAGCCAACUUCUAACUGACAAUUUUGCAGGUGAAACAAAUCCCAGUACUACAAUAACCCCAAUACCAAACAAGGACAGGUACAUAAAUCCAAUGAAUUCUUAACCUCAAUGGCAUAACUACAAUUCACAAGAAAAGCUACAAAAUAUGGUAAAUCACAACUGGGAAUCAUACCAGAAUUCCUAGAUGCAACUGUGCAAGAUAACACCCAUAUCAAUCUAAAAUUCAAUGAUUCCACCAAAAUCCAGUACACAGAGAUAACUCAACCCAAAUUAACAGCCAUAUUCCAACUGAAAAUGAACACAUCAUAUUCCUCCCAGUAAGAACAGGAAGAGAAAUCUGCUUCAGUACUUUUUCAUUUUAUGCCUUUUACAAUUUUCAACAAACCAAGGCGGGACUCUAGUUACCUGAAAUUCUUUCAGUGUGUUCAUGUUGAGCCUUGCUAAACUUCCAGGCUUCAGUUCUGAUCACAAAAGCAAGAAAAACAAUCCCAAUUAAACCCCAUCUCCAGUUCCUCAUUUUUCUUUCUUCACAACUCAAAUCUGCGACUCCAAAAACAAUCAGUACAAAAAACUGAGGAACCUAGGAUGGCCCAGAAAGAUCAAUCCUUUAUUAACCGCAUAAGUGCCCCAAGACCAAAGACAAAGGCCUCGGCAUCAAUUUACUUAAUAACAAGUAGGAGGAAGAAAUAGUUGGAAUGUCAUUAGGCAAAGUAGUUGUUGAAAGGCUUUUCUUGCAAAUUGGGAUUUGACACACCACAGAGAAAAUGAAAUCUUGCAAUUUCUUUUUCUAUUUUUUUUUAAGCAAAAAUCAGAGGAAUGAAAUUGAUAGAGAAAAGGGUUUGUGAGAAAUUUGCUUCAAGAAACAGGGAAAGACCUGGAGGAGGAACUAGGAAGGGAGGGAUGGUACUGGUUUGGUCUAGAGUUGGUUGCCAAGCAGCUGUUAAAAUACACACUCCUGGAAACAAACGAGUAAUAGAGUAGUAGUAUUUCUAUAUAUUCUUUUAUAUUUAUUGCUGGGGAUAUAGAUCUACUGAUGAUUAGUGUAAUAUACAGCUAAUAAACAUAUGAUUCGGGGAAGAUUUGAUGAAAGGAGCUUUUCAUUUUCUUUGGGUUCGAUAAGAAGUCCACUUCAAUGAAAACCCCCUGCUACGAAGUAUGCUGCUCCAAGCUCAUAGUCAAGGCUGCUCUGCUGUUUAUUUCUAGUUUAAUAUUCCAUCUCCUUCAUUCUUAUUACUACUUGGUUGCUUAUUUCUCUUUUUCAUGUGGUGUUGGUGUUGAAGGUUGCUAUGUGUUUGCUCACUAAUGAAGUUGGCAUUAUUUUUGUGGCAAUUAUGUUUAAGCAAAUACUCGAUACAUAAUGAAUGCAUUGAAUUUUUUUUUUUUUUCUUUUUUUUGGGUCGGCAUUGAUUUUUGUUGCUUUUGUAGUAUUUUGGUGAAAACAUUUUGACGAAAUUGGUAUGGUUAGUGUAAAUAGGUUGAGGAAUGGAGUAUUCUAUCACAUGUCGGUGGUUCGGCCUAAAGCCAAUUUUGGUUUUAACGCCCGAAAUUUAUUGACCUGCCAAAAGAAUUGUAAAAGAGAUUUAAAAGGAGAGGGAAAUUGUCUGAAAAUGCUUGGUGAAUACAAGGUAGUUUCUGAUUGAGAUGUUUUAUAGGGGGGGAAAAAAAUCUUCAGCCAUGGGGUAGCAUGUUUUUCACAUAUACAAGGAUCAUCUUUAAUUUAAUUCUGGACCAUGGAAGACUCUGUGUGUGUGUGUGUGUGUUUUUUUUUACAUAUUUUUAAAUUUCUUUUUUAGUUGGAGAAACGUGAGAUUUAAGAGAUGAGAAAGGGUAAAGGGAAAUCUGAACCCGUAUUUAAGAUUUAAGAUUUCAAUCUUAAUUAUUAGACCAUUAUCACCUCGCACCAUAAAUCAUAAUGUUUUCGUUACUUUUAACUUAUAAUCUCUCUAUGAUGACUGUAUAAAACUUCUCAUACUAGCAGAGAUUUAGAAUUUUUUCUUCUUCUUUUUUUUUUUAACAAGAGAGCUUUAGAAUUUGUCAUAAUCAGUGUGAGUUAAUAUUUGGGGCAAUCAACAGGAAAUUUAAUAUGAACUUGUCAUUUAUUGAUUGUUUCCAUCUGGACCAUCAAAAGGAUAAAAAGAAUAACAAGAAUACUCAGAAUGUUUUAUCCUAAUUUUCAAAUUUAUAGAGAUAUAUUAUUUGAUUAUGAAAUUACUAGCUUAUGCCAUAUAAUAUUAGAGAUAUCUUCUCCAAAAAGCAAAAAGUAUAUAUAUGUUUUCGGCAGCAUAUGUUGGAUUUUUUUUGGGUUAUAGUAUGAGAUGAAAGGCUUUGGGUUUCUUACAGUUGGCUUCUAACAGACUUUCUUACAGCCCAACAGAUAUUUCUUUCAGCCCAAAUAAAGCUACAUGAUCGGAGUCAUGAAAAACAGUGUACAGAUUUAAUAUUGGUGGCCUAACUUAAACCUGUGGGUUUAUAAUAUAUAAAGCCCGAAUAGCUUGUUGUGUCAACUUGUGAUGUAGUUUCACUCUCCUCCCCCCUUUUUUUUUCUGUAAUUUCUUUGGGGUUAACUAUUAAUUGAAGGUAAAAAAAAAAAAAA
rnacentral:lncRNA from 1 species